ACUGAUUCAUGAAUGGUUCUUUUGGAAAUGAUCAACUGUUGGGGGAUUUUUUUUGUUCUUCCCAUUUUUUGGGGAAGUGGGUAGAGUUUGUGAUUUUGAACUGGCGGUGGUGUUUCUGAGUUUGGAGGUGUGGUACUUGUUGACUGUGAUGAAGCUCUUGAAUUUUGUCAGUGAAUAGAGACGUUAACAUCAUAGAUUCUGAGCUUAACUUUAUCUACUUGCCUUGUUUUUUCUUUUAACUGUUGCAAUGAUUGACUGCAAUUGAGUGGUAUAUCUGUUGCGUGUACCUUGUACUGGAUGUGAAUUGAAGAUGGGAAUGUUCCUUUUGACCUUAACCCAACAAAUAAUUAAAAAAGGUUUUAUGCGAGUUUAGCCUGAAGAGAACUAACAGCUCUUCUAGCCUGAAAAAGAAGAAAAAAUGUAGUUCUUGCUGUCCUUUUGCCAAUAAAUACAACAGUAGCUCUUGCUGAGAUUACUGGAGCUCAUUAAUUCAAGUUUGUGAAUGUGAUAAGAUUAUGCGUUCUUUAUUUCCCAUCAUUCCGUAUUUCCUUUCUUAAUAGUAAUGGGGGGUCUUACUUUUCUUUUUUCUUAUUUAUUUUUUUCAAUUGAGUUGCUAUUUUGGAUCUCAUAAAACUAGAAACAACUUUGUGGUGCUUCUAUACCAAAAGGUUCUUGUUAAAAUAUUUUAAGUUGAAGCUUAAAUUAGAAGUUUUUAUUUUGUUAGGCUUGCACCUCAAAAGAUACUUUGAAUGUUGGUGGAAAUGAGAAUAUGUCUUUAUACUCAUACCCCUUGAAGCCCCUGAUUGUAAUUUACUUUAGAAUUGUUUUCCUACUUGGUCCAUAAUUUUUGCUUGGCUUUCACCUUAUUUCAGGUUGGAAAAACAUGUCUUCCUCUAGACCUAGCCAGUCUUCUAGCAACUCUGGCCGGUCAAGACAUAGCACCAGAAUAAUUGCUCAAACAUCUGUUGAUGCGAAACUCCAUGCUGAUUUUGAGGAAUCUGGGAAUUCAUUCGACUACUCAAGUUCAGUGCGUGUCUCUAGUGACGUUAGUGGAGAUCACCAACCUAGGUCAGACAAAGUUACAACAGCUUAUCUCCACCAUAUACAGAAAGGGAAACUUAUCCAACCAUUUGGUUGCUUAUUGGCCUUAGAUGAAAAAACAUUCAAGGUUAUUGCAUAUAGUGAAAAUGCCCCUGAAAUGUUGACCAUGGUCAGUCAUGCUGUCCCAAGCAUGGGGGAUUACCCUGUUCUUGGCAUAGGGACAGAUGUGAGGACUAUUUUCACUGCACCUAGUGCUUCUGCACUGUUGAAGGCCUUGGGCUUUGGGGAGGUUACACUUCUUAAUCCCAUCCUGGUGCAUUGCAAGACUUCUGGAAAACCCUUUUAUGCAAUUGUGCAUCGUGUUACUGGAAGCUUAAUCAUUGACUUUGAGCCUGUGAAGCCUUAUGAAGUCCCAGUAACAGCAGCUGGAGCCCUACAAUCAUAUAAACUUGCAGCCAAAGCAAUUACUAGAUUGCAGUCCUUGCCUAGUGGGUGCAUGGCUAGGCUUUGUGACACAAUGGUUCAAGAAGUUUUUGAACUAACUGGUUAUGAUAGAGUCAUGGCUUAUAAAUUCCAUGAUGAUGAUCAUGGGGAAGUGAUCUCUGAAGUCACAAAGCCUGGUCUUGAGCCGUAUCUUGGUUUGCAUUAUCCGGCCACUGACAUUCCUCAAGCUGCACGCUUUUUGUUCAUGAAAAAUAAGGUCCGCAUGAUUGUUGAUUGUCGUGCAAAACAUUUAAAAGUGCUCCAAGAUGAAAAGUUACAGUUUGAUCUAACUUUAUGCGGAUCAACAUUAAGGGCUCCACACAGUUGCCACUUACAGUAUAUGGCAAACAUGAACUCAAUAGCCUCUUUGGUUAUGGCAGUUGUGGUUAAUGAAGGGGAUGAAGAUGCCGAGGGCCCUGCUUUGCAGCAACAAAAGAGAAAGAGACUAUGGGGGUUAGUAGUAUGUCAUAAUACAAGUCCCAGAUUUGUUCCUUUUCCUCUUAGGUAUGCUUGUGAGUUUCUUGCUCAAGUAUUUGCUAUUCACGUGAACAAGGAAUUGGAGUUGGAAAAUCAAAUUAUAGAGAAAAAUAUUCUGCGUACACAGACACUCUUAUGCGACAUGCUAAUGCGUGAUGCUCCUUUAGGUAUUGUGUCAAGGAGUCCUAACAUAAUGGAUCUUGUGAAAUCUGAUGGGGCUGCCUUGUUAUAUAAGAACAAAAUUUGGCGAUUGGGCAUGACACCCAGCGACUUCCAUUUGCGGGACAUUGCCUCGUGGCUUGCCGAAUAUCAUAUGGAUUCAACAGGGUUGAGUACUGACAGCUUGUAUGAUGCAGGAUAUCCUGGAGCUCUUGCUUUAGGUGAUGAAGUAUGUGGGAUGGCUGCCGUGCGGAUAACUACUAAUGAUAUGAUUUUUUGGUUUCGGUCUCACACUGCUUCAGAGAUUCGGUGGGGUGGAGCAAAGCAUGAACAUGGUGAGAAGGACGAUGGCAGAAAAAUGCAUCCAAGAUCAUCUUUCAAGGCUUUCCUUGAAGUAGUGAAAACAAGAAGUUUGCCUUGGAAGGACUACGAAAUGGAUGCAAUCCACUCUUUACAACUGAUCCUUAGAAAUACUUUUAAAGAUACAGAUACAGAUGAAAUAAAUCGAAAAUCAAUUCAAAUGACACUUGGUGACCUUAAAAUUGAAGGGAGGCAAGAAUUGGAAUCAGUAACAAGUGAAAUGGUCAGGUUAAUUGAGACAGCUACUGUGCCGAUUUUAGCAGUUGAUGUAGAUGGGUUAAUUAAUGGGUGGAAUACAAAGAUUGCUGAAUUGACUGGACUCCCUGUGGAUAAAGCUAUUGGCAAGCAUUUGCUUACGUUAGUGGAAGAUACUUCUGUAGAAGUUGUCAAGAAAAUGUUGUAUUUGGCAUUGCAAGGUAUUUCGGUUUAGUUUUACUCUUCAACCAUUUUUAUACUUCGACCUAUGGAUUAUAAUAAGUAUAAUCGCUGGAAAUACUAAAAAAUGUGGUGGGAAAUUAUCUUUUUAGUUUUAUAUGAUCCAUAUAUUUUAAAAGGUGAUAUUUUACUUCUAAACUUUUAAAGGAUUGUUCAAGAUAGUCUAAAGGUUGUGAGUGUCUUUGUGUGUGUGUGUGUGUUUGUGUUAACUGUAGUUAUGCAGUGAAGUGUCUGUUGGAUAUUUUUGUGAACUUUAAUAUAUUUGGUUAAUGGUGAUAUGUUUUAAUUUUCUUUUGUUUACCUUGUUUUUUUUUUGUACACAAAGAAGUAUAGAUUUGUUGAUUUAACGUCACAUUUUGGUCUGCUUUUGACUUGUUCAUGCCCUUACUGUUUUCCUGAAGUUUUUUUUUUUAAGAAAACUCCCCUUUCCUUUUCUUUUAUAAAAAAAGAAGGGUAGAAAACAGAGAUCUUCUUCCUUCUACACUCACCCACCAUAUAGAGAGGAAGAGAAGUUCAGAGCUGACUCCAUGUAGAUACAUAGACAAACAAGAUCAUUACUUAAUGCUUUACUUCAGUGUUUUGCAAGUUCAUGAUAUGAGGGGCAAUGUGAUCUUUUUUAUGCCUACCUUUUUCCCUCUUUCUCAACAGGACAAGAAGAGCAAAAUGUUCAAUUUGAAAUCAAGACGCAUGGUUCUCAUAUUGAGGUUGGCUCGAUCAGGCUUGUUGUAAAUGCUUGUGCAAGUAGGGACUUGCGUGAAAAUGUUGUGGGGGUGUGUUUUGUAGCACAAGAUAUCACUGGUCAGAAGAUGGUUAUGGACAAGUUCACUCGAUUAGAAGGUGAUUACAAAGCUAUUGUACAAAAUCCCAAUCCAUUGAUCCCUCCAAUAUUUGGUUCAGAUCAAUUUGGAUGGUGCUCAGAAUGGAAUGCUGCAAUGACAAAAUUAACUGGGUGGUCACGGGAAGAAGUAAUUGAUAAGAUGCUUUUAGGAGAGGUAUUUGGUGCUCACAAGUCAUGUUGUCGUUUAAAGAAUCAAGAAGCUUUUGUUAAUCUUGGGGUUGUUUUGAACAAUGCCAUGAGUGGUCAAGAUCCUGAGAAGGUUUCCUUUGGCUUCUUUGGUCGGAACGGGAUGUACGUGGAAUGUCUUCUAUGUGUCAAUAAGAUCUUGGAUAAGGAUGGGGUGGUUACAGGAGUUUUUUGCUUUCUGCAGCUUGCUAGUCAUGAGUUGCAACAAGCACUAAAUAUCCAACGAUUAUGUGAGCAGACUGCUUUGAAGAGAUUGAGAGCAUUGGGAUACAUAAAAAGACACAUACAAAAUCCUCUUUCUGGGAUAAUCUUUUCGAGAAGAUUAUUGGAACGUACCGAGUUGGGAACAGAACAAAGGGAAAUUCUGCUUACUAGCUUACACUGUCAAAAGCAAAUCUCCAAGGUUCUGGAAGAGUCUGACCUUGAUCAAAUUAUUGACGGGUAUGGUGGUUUUGAUAUAUAUAAUAUGUGUAAAAUAGGUCUCUUUCAAGAAUUUUGUUAAAUUCACCGGAAUUUUGUUACACAUCAGUUUUUCAACAGUCCAGUUUUAUACUUCCUCUCUACUUAAAUUCAUGUUCAUUUAGACCGUCUUUGUGGCUUAUUAGUAGUUUCAUCAACUUUAUGGUAGAAGUACUAAAUUAUAUGCAAAAAGAUUGGCCAUUUGAAUGUAUAUGAAGGUUGGUAUAUUUGCAGUGGCUGGUUACGGUUAUGGGUGCACUUAGGAGAACGGAUUCAUGUGCCAUUGUUUAAUGUAUUUAUCUUUAUUUCUAGAAUUUUGCAUUUCAAAACACAAUUCUUUUCCUCUUUGUGUAUGACGGUUUAUUUAUUUCUCUUUCUUGGGGCACAGGUUUAUUGAUCUGGAAAUGGUCGAGUUUACAUUGCAUGAAGUAUUGAAGGUAUCAAUCAGUCAAGUGAUGAUAAAGAGCAAAGGAAAGGCUAUCCAGAUAGUUAAUGAGACUGUAGAAGAGGCCAUGUCCGAGACCUUAUAUGGUGAUAGUUUGAGGCUUCAACAAGUCUUGGCAGAUUUUCUAUUGCUAUCAGUUAGUUAUGCGCCUGCAGGAGGCCAACUGAAAAUUUCAACCAACUUGACAAAGGAUCAAUUAGGAAAGUCGGUUCAUCUCGUGCAUUUGGAAUUCAGGUAAUAGCUUUGAUUACAAAAUAGAUAGACUAUACUUGGAUCCUAACCUUUAGGAUUAUUUCACUUUCAAAAAGGUCUAUUUCGGUUCCCAAACAUUUAAAAAAGGAAUAGUCAUUAUGAAUCUCACCAUUAUUUUUCCAUGGAUUGUCUAUAUAUGGAUAAUAUUAAUUUACGCAUGUGUUGAGCUAGGCAUGUAUUAGAACUAGGUACCUUUCAUGAUUGAGGUGGGUACCAAUAUGUUGUUUUUUUAAAAGAUAAAAUCAUUAAUGACCUAUAUAGGUUGAGAUCGACUUGGGGUGGAGGAAAAUUAGUUAGCCAGAAUCAGAAUGAAUACUUUUUAAAAGCUGACAGAUUCAUUUUGGAUUUAUAGACUAUAAUGAUAUAUUGUAUGUGUGAGAGGAGGCCCGUUUGGUAAUCAUUUUGUGCCUAUAGACAUUCAUCUCCCACUAAAUAUAAAUAUCAUAUAAAUAUCAUGCUUUAUUAUCUACUUUACCUAUAUUUUGAAAAACAAAGCAGAAAUUUUAAAAGCUUAUUUUUGUUUUCGGAAUUUAGAAUUUAUAUAUUUAAAAAAGAUGCAAAUCAUAAUAAGAAUGGAAUAGGCUUAAUUUACAAAAAUGAUAGUAAAAAACGAAAUGUUUACCAAAUGAGACUUUAGUUAUGUGAAUUGUAACAGUGAAUUCUUUGUUUCAUAUAUUUCUUUUGACCUAUUCUGAAGAAGUAUGGUUUUUCACACCCACAUUAUGAAGUUGCAUAUAUAACAUUAUAAACUUGCAUUAUAGCUAUAAGCAUUUGAUAAUAGCUCAAUAAAGCAAAACUAUUUAUUUUGGAAUAGGAUAACGUAUGCUGGAGGUGGUAUACCCGAAUCGUUGCUGAACGAGAUGUUUGGUAGCGAGGAGGAGGCUUCUGAGGAGGGUUUUAGUCUACUCAUCAGUAGAAAACUAGUGAAGCUAAUGAAUGGAGAUGUAAGAUACAUGAGGGAAGCAGGUAAGUCAAGCUUCAUCAUAACUGUUGAGCUUGCUGCUGCACACAAGGCAAGUAUGUAGGCAAAAGAUUGCAUUCUAUGUUAAAGUUUGAAUGAUGGGAAUUUGCAGCGGGUGAUGAUUUUGUAUAGUGCUAAAGUUAAAGUUGUUUCUCUCAUUGUCAAAUUUCCAAUCUCCUUUGACCUUUUAUUGAAAUACAAUCUAAUUUUCUCAUUACUUUAUUUGACUCUUUUGUAAGCACUACUAUUGUAUAGUUGCAGUAAUUUCUUAAUUUUUCAGGUCUUUCUAAUCUACUUUCCUUUUUAAUGCCUGAAUUCUCUCAUUAUUAUUCUCUAUUUUGGUACUUGCACCUUUCUCAAUAAUUCCUUUGGUCCACCUUUAAAAUCAUUGUUUGGCUCUUUAAUCAAUUUUUGUACCUAUCAAAUUUAAAAAGCAGAAUUGAAACAAACCAAUAAAUGUCAUUAUUUUCAAAAUUCCUUCUUAAGUGUCAUUAACAACUUGGUUAAAUUUGACGAAAUGAAUUCCAAACUCCUUACCCAAACCUCCAUGAAUCUAUCCACGUGGUAGUCCUCUUCAAUACUAUUAUUAUGGUAAACAAAAUUUGAAUGUAGCAAGAAGGGGUUAGCACUAAAACAAUGAAAUACAAAUCCUUCCUCUCGUAGGCUAACUCUUAAUUACUUCCAUGAGAAUGAACAGAAGACAUGGAUUUUGCAGAAACCGAAGCCGUGGGGCUGGUGGCUUCCCUAUCCACAUUACCAAAGUUGGCUUUUCCGGUCAGCAUUUUGAUUGCAAUUUGAGCAACCUCAGCGAACCAAUCAUCCUCCGGCAAAGCACUUGACCACAAAAACAACAGAACAGAAAAGUUUUUUUUUUUUUUUUUUGCUUUGUUUUGUUUUUCAAAGGAUAACUCAUAAAUGGUUUAUAUAUUAAUCAGAUGAUGGGAGAAAAAAGAAAUGUGGUGGUACCUGUAAGGAUCUGUACCCGUAGAAGCCAACGAGUCUAUGGCUCUUCCUAUGAUGUUCUUGAUGACUUGAUGCAAAUUCCGAGAUAGAUAUCGACCUUGUGACGAGAAUAAUAUCACGAACUCCAUAUCUAAGUAGAACUACCAAACCACAUAUCAAAAGUUAAUGUCUAAUAGUUAGGUGAUAAGAGUGAGUUAUUAAUAACGGUAAACAUAGAAUUGAACCAACCGAAUAGCUAAAAGAUGGAAGAAAGAGAUAGAAGUUAUUAUUCUUACAAUAACGAUUACUAAAGUGGUUUGGUUGGUGUUGAAAGGUGAGAAUUAUGGAGAGGUAAGAAAAACAAAAAACUAAUUUUGUAUAUGAUACCUUAGUUUGUGUUAAGAAUAACAUAAAGUUUAAUAACCACUCAUCUGAUUAGGUCGUUGAUAGUGCAACUUUGAUACAUGAAUUUGUUCAUAUUCUUUCUAUUGUAGUCCAUCAAGGUCUAGAUAGAAUGGUGAAAUUGUCUAAAGACACCCAAGAAUAUUAGUUAAUUAGAGACUAGUAAGGAUUGAUUUAGUGUUGUGGCAUGUGAUGUAUGUGUGUAUAUAAUGUUAAAAUUGAAUAUGAUCUCUACGAGUAAGUAAGUUAGUAUUAAUAUAUAUAUGUUAGUUAAGAGAACUUACUUGCUGAAGGCCGAAGGGGCCCAAAGGGCGAGGCCCUUCUUCAACCUCUUCCCAAAAAGCUUGAUCUUCAGAAAGCCACAAUAUCACCGUUUCGGUCAGUCUCAUCAGAAGAACUGUCGCAAAUCUCUCCCUUCCCACGAACAUCUCCGUUGCCAUACUUGCAAUCCUCGUCAAUUUCGCGAACAGCCCCUGAAAUCAAACCAACCAUCACUUUCACUCUCAACUCUAUCACAAACCUUUCUUCCAUCAAAAUCACCUGAAAUAUCUGCGAAGGAAACCACUCCGGCUCUUCCAGAUUCUCAUUCCCGUCCAUCGACAAGUACAUCUGUGCAUUUAGCCGCGUAUCUCCUUCUUCCGUGAAUAUCAGUUCUAGGGCGUGCUGCCGGCAGAAGCUAUCCCUCAGUCGAUCCACCGACCGCUGCAAUCUCCUCUUCCAUUCUCUCUGCUCCGGCACUCGGCUCUGCCUCUCCGCCGCUUUUCUCGGCGUUUCGGUUCUGUUAUGUGGAAAAAGCUUGGUUGCCGCUCGAGGGAUCAACUCAUCGGCUAGCAAUGAGGCGUUGGCUAGUAGAGCUAUUUGUUGCGCUUCCGUCUCGGCUAGGCGUACGAUCUUCGUUGCCGAUCCUUCUAGAUUCAUCUCGUUUUCGACUGAACUUGGGAGAGCUGUUAUGAGUAAAUUGAGGUACGAGUUGAAUACUUGAAGAACUCCUUCCAAGGUUAGUGCAUCUAAUUGUAGGCUUUCAAGUGAUCCCAUAUCUUCUACAAAUUCCUGAAAUCAUAUAUAUCAUUCAUUCUUCAACUUCAACAUUCAAUGUACUUCAUUCUACUACCUUGUGAAUCUCAGAUAAGAUCGAUUUGGAUCGGAUUUUUGUAAAAAGAAAAACAAGAUUUCAAAUCAUAACGGUUCUCAAAUUUCGACUUAGAAAACAAUUUUUUGAGAACAUGGUCAAUCACGUGGCCACCUACCUAGAAAUUUAAAUUAAGUUUUCUUGUAGGUCUGGCGCGGACACUGAUGUAAAGGAAAAACAUCCAACUAAUUGAUACCACAUUGAAACAUAGAAACUAUAGAUUUUAUGUCAACUUCUCCCAGGAAUCUUAGUAUGCAAGCUUAAGAAAGCCAUUUACGAAUCUAUAUACUUCGAUUGACUAAAGUAGGCAUCGAGAGUUAAGAAUUCUUAAAGAAAUCUAGCCUUGUCCGUCUUCUAUGUGGUACACAAGAAACUUAAGAUAGAAAGGAUGAUCUCAAGGAACCAUAGGAGAGGUUCUGAAGCUUAGGAGAGGAGAAAGUUUCACUUUUGUUAGAUUGUGUGGCAACGUGAUCCAACGUCAAACUGAAUCUUACAUUUUGUGUACAUCCAAACACACAAAUUCAUUCCAAAUCGUAAGAGAUUUAAAAAAUUUGCCAAGGACUAUUAAAUUGGUAGUUUUAAAAAGCUUAUGAAAUGUCAUGGAUUACUUCAACUUUUUGAAAGAUAGAAUUGUUCGUUUAAACAAAUGACAAAGUUUUAGUGUGUGUUUUUUUUUCUUUUUUAAUUUAACCAAAAGGCAAAAACAUACUAAAUUAAGUUUUCCCCUUGACUUGUAGAUGAGUAUCGAACAAAAAGUGGCAUGAACGCAAGAUCAUUACCUGAACCAUUGUAUUAAAUCUAUGUGCACUUCUUGAAAGCUUUGGCUGUGACACAACAGAAGCGAGCGAAGAAGUCGAAGAUGUUCUUGGAAAAAGUCUAGAAGCAACAGGUGAAUAAGCAAGCAACCAAUCAUCUGCUGCAGCUAAAGCAGCACUGCUCUGUUCAAUUCUCCUCAAAUUAGCUGUUAUGGCAUUCUCAAUAAAUGGCCUAAAAUGCCUAUACAACACUGGCGUAAGUGCCAACCCACGAGCUUCCAAAAGCGAGCAAUGCCCCAUACUUAUUUGUACACUCUCAGCUGCAAUCCUCAAACUCCCCACAGCUGCCGAUGAACCUAUCACAUACCGCUUCAAAAACACAGCAAAACCAUCCGUUUGUCUCACAGACCAAGUCACCAACUCUGAUGCAUAAGCUGGCUCUUCCCCGAACACAGCCAACGAAUCAUUUGCCGCUUGAGCAAUCGUUGAGAACACAAACUGCGAUAUCGCUGCUGUGUAUACCCCUCCCCCUGAGUUGCUUGAUGUCCUAAAACUAUGCAAGCUUCGCUGCAGUUUCUGUUGGUGGGAACUCAGCAGCAACAUGUGUGCACGUGAACCAUCCCCGAGCUUUUUCAAAGCUUGAGCAGCAGAGCGAAGGUCCACGCCUCGUGUGGAAGGUUGGGAAAUUGUUUGCUCAAGGAGAGAAGCUAGUUUUUGUCUUUGGUUUCGAAUGGCAGUUUGUAAUGUGGAGAGUGCAGAAGCACUCAAUGCCUUGCGACAAUUAGAAUCUUGAGCUAUUUGUUCGCCUUUGGCUAAAGCUGCAAGAGCUUCGUCCAUUCGUUUCUCAACCAAGAGAACUUCAAGGUUGUCUAAAAACUCCACCAACCAUUCAUCUGUGGUGGGGAGUUCACGUGUUUCGUUGGAAGAAUGGUCUUGAAUUGAAUCUUCAAUAUCUCGAGAAAGAGAUUCAAUGCUUGCUCCUUCAACUAAACCAUGAAUAAGAGCUGCUUGAGUGGAUAAAUGAUUUCUUAGUAAAAGAAGUUCGCCUUCAAGAUCUGUAAUCUCUCGAGAUGUACUGAUGAUAAGACGACCAAGAACGGAGAAAUUGAGAAAAAAAACAAGAAACAAAAUUAGAAAAAGGAUAAAGGAAAAAAAAAAAAAAAAAGAAAGAUUGGAAAUGAUGAUCACCGAAUGAAAGCUCCAUAAUUGGCAUAAACGCUUUUACGCAUUUCUUCAGCAGAGGCCUUCUUGAGGUCGAUAAGGUAAGAACAUAAAUGCUUAAUUUCCUUCUCGGACAUGGUAUGGCAUUUGGAGGUGACAUAGGAAUCAAUGUCAUAUUUAGAGGAUUUGAAGCCUUUUAAUCUGUCUUUGAGGGGGAGAUUUGCUUCCAGUUCUGAAGCAUCUCCUAUGGAUGAGAACGAACCUCUGGCAAACGAGGAAUAGGCUGAAGAAUCCAUGGUUUUCUAUUUUGUUAAAUUAGAAGGGAAAAGAGGAAUGGGUUUUCAUGAAUGCAAGUGGGUUGACGCCAUCGGAGGAGGUUGGAGGAAGAGGAAGAAGAUGAAGAUGAAGAUGAGGAAAGAUCCAAAUGAAAUGGAAGCUUUUGGUUGAAUUCAAAGAGAUAGAGAGAUGGUUUGGGUGAAUUGGUUAUGGGGUUGUUGAGUUUCUCAUGGCUUUAUACUUCUGUGUUUUCAAAACUAACUAAUUUAUAAACACUAAAUAAAAGUUUUUUUAAUAAAAAAAAUCACUAUAUGUAGGAAAACGAUAAGAGAAAUUCUUAUAGAUUGGGAAAUAUAGAAAAAAAAAAAACUUAAACAUAGAUUUUUGUAAAUAAUUUCAUUUUUACUAACUUUAUAAGCUUUAUAUAAUAAUUUAUUUUAAUUUUUUAACAUAUACCAAUAAAAAAAAGUCCAUUUUGUUCGUGGUGUCUUUAUUAUAGAAACAAUUCUAGGUUUGAGAUAAUUUCUUGUAAAUUUUCUGUACAAAAUAUGUUGACAUGAGUCGUGUUGGUUUUUGAAGAUAUAUUUCACAAGGAUAACAUAGUCGAGAUAAGGAACGUAGAAAAUUGUCAAAACAAUAAAGAUGUUGAAUUCAAAUUUUUUCGGAUCAUUAAAUAUAUAUAUUGGUCGCUCUCCCUUGUAACUUCUCUACUUUUUAUGCUUGCUAAGGCAAUCAAUAAGGCAUCAAAUGACAAUAUGGAAGAAGAAGAAAAGUGCACUAACGCUAGCUACGCUACACACACAACAAAAGUUCCAAAACUUAUCUCCCACUAUACAAACCCCACUAAACAAGGAAAAUUCUUCCCUCUCAUGCAUAAAAGAAAAUAAAAACUAAAAGAAAGAAAAAAUUCCCAUGUAACCUCUACCAUAUAACCACACAUAUAGCUAAGCUCAAAAUAUAUACACUCCAAUUAUCCCACCAUCUCUCACACUGUUCAAAUCACAAAUGGAGGAACUCUUCUUCUCUUCUCCUCAUGCAUUGCUAAUAAUCCUCACAACAUCCUUCCUCCUCCUCCCCUCCAUCUCCUCCCAAGCUUGCCAAAAGACCUGUGGUGACAUCCCGCUUCGUUACCCUUUCGGUAGCGGCAGCGGGUGCGGUGACUCACGAUUCCACCCUUCCAUCACUUGCAAUGAUCAUCAACAACUAAUCUUCACAACUCACACUGGCUGCUACCCCAUCUCCAACAUAGAUUACACCAACCAAGUCUUCUACAUCUCCGACCCGACCAUGUCGACCUGCGCUUGCAACCAACCGAGCAAAGGGUUCGGCCUCGAUUGGGAUGCUCCUUUCACCUUCCACGGCGACACCAUCUUUGCUCUACUCGACUGCUCAAGCUCCUCCCCUGUUUACUCCCCAACCGGUAUGUUCAACGACCGAAACAACAACAACUCGUCUCGAGUGUCGCUUUGCGAUAGCAGCCGUGGAAUGCCGAUUUGUGGAUUCUUGUAUGGGUGUAAGCCAAUAGUGAGCCUUAAUAUUCCAAUAUCAGGGUGUUGUGUUUAUACACCUGUGAAUUUUGGGCCUUCUUUUGAGAUGGAUUUGGAGAAGCUUAAGUGUGGUUCUUAUUCUGGGUUUUAUAGCUUUAAUGGAAGAGAAUCAGACGCUGAGAGCUGGAAAUAUGGAAUUGCUAUUAAGUAUAAGUUUGCAAUCGACAAUGUUUAUCCAAGUUGGUGUUCGAGUUGUGAACAGAGUGGUGGGGUUUGUGGGUAUUCAGGUCCCGUUGAUUCAUUUAUAUGUAAUUGUCCUCCUGGAUUUAACACAACUACUAAUUGUUUCUUUGGAGCUUCUUUCAAUGGCGUUUCUAAGCUUCUUCCAAACCAACUUCCAUGUAAGUUUUCUUCCAAUUCACCUCCUUUUACACCUCUGUUUCUUCUGCCAUUCUUGAUGAUCUUUUACCAUUUAGCUUUUUGAAAAUAAUGUUUGUUUUGAAAAUUGUUUUAAAAAUAAAGAAGGUAGAAUAAACAAAAACAAGUUCUUCGUUUUUACUAUAUUUGAAAACAUGUUUAUUUUCAAUUUAAAAUUCAAAAUUUGUAUUUUGCUAUUAAUUUUAAAAUGUAAUACUUAGGUUCAUAAUUUCUAAAAACCAAAUUUAAGAACGAAUAAAUCGAUAGUUUAUUGUUUUAAAAAAUAAGCGUUAUAUUUCAAGAGUCAUUUUUUAAAAUCUUUUUUAAAAUCAAGUAUAUCAAAUAUAUUUUUAUAUUUUUUUUGUAUUUUUUGUUUUAAAAAAAUUUAAAAAUGAAAAUGAAUCAUCAACCAAACUUGUUUAUUUUAAAAAAAUUAGGGUAUUCCACUAACAAUUAAAAUUUUCUUUAGAAUUGAUAAAAUUGUUUUAAGAUGGAAAAAAAAAAAAAGUCUUAAAGUUUAUUCUCCAACAGGAAGAAAAAAAAACUUGAGUAUCACUUUAAUUAUAAUUUAUAAAUUAACACAUAGAGAGUCUUUAAAUUAAAAUAAAACUUUGUUCAUAUAUAUACAUAUAAUGUAUUUAACAAAAAUACUUUUUUACAAAGUUACUCUUUGAAUUACUAAAUAAAAAAGUUUAUUUUAUAAAAAUGGAGCUCCAAUCAUAUAAUAAAAUCUGACCUUCCUAAGAACAGCAUAACAGAAUGCAAUUUUUUCUUUUAAAAAAUAUAUUUUGUUUUAAAGUUAGAAAGUUUAUGUUUUUUUCCGUUUUUAAAAUUUUCUGUUUAUUAAAAACAAAAAUCAUAUACGUUUAGAAAUUGUUUUUUUUUCCAUAAUUUAGUUAUCAAAUACAUCUCUUCGAAAUCAAAAAUAAAAAACCCGAAAAGGGAAUGAAUCACCAAAGGGUUAAAUUGAAAACUAAUUAACAUAUUAUUCUUUCAUAUAUAUUUGUGCAGGGAUUUGUGUGAUUAUUUUCUCAGGAUGGCUAUUGGUUUGGUCUUCUUCUACGUUUUAGCAAAUAACUUCGAGCCAUUUACAUCAGCCAUUGAAGUAUUUGGACGGAGAAAAUGUAGCUUUAAUUUCUUCUUUUGUUACGUGGGAAGUCGAACUUCUAACUUUCAACAUUACAACGAGUAGUGGUACAUCAAUCAUCAUGUUGAUUUAAUUUAAGUAUGAUUGUUUGUGUUUUCAAAUAAAAUCAAAUUUGGUGUUGAAAGGUGUUAAUUAAAUUAAAGUAAGAUUUUUAUGAAUGAUUUUAUAUAAUAUUAUUGAAUGAAACAUUAUCAGAAAAAAGAAAAAUAAUAAGGGGUGAUGGAAUCAGGUUCUCCUUUUUUUAUGAGAGGAUAAUGAUUCUACAAAAUCCACUAAUGGGAAUCGUUUCAUUUUCUCAUACUUUAUUGAGCAUAUUCCUUAAAGUGAACACCAACAUACAAAGGCUACCAAAAAGUUUUAUUCUUCUUCAUAAACUUUGGUUAAGUGCUUUCAUAUAUAGACUAGACUUGUUAUAUCUAUAAAGAGAUACUUAUUGAUCUGAAAAUGAAAAUGAUAGGGAUUUAAAAUACAUAUUAAGUGAGUAGAAGUGUACGUAGAUCAAUUUGGGAAAAGUGGUUCUAUGUAAUAUGAUCAAUUGUUGUUUGUCAUAUAUGUUGCAAAGUGGGGUACUGAUACUAUGUGUCCUCUAAAGGGCAAUGAUCUCUUAGAAAGAAAAAAAACAGUUUGAAGUGUGUUACAAUUUCUUACUAACAAUGCAUGGAUUUGGUAUCUAAUUUCUCAAAGAAAAAGAAAAUAGGUUAGAGCAUUUGGAUAUGAAUUUGUGCACCUAAGAAUGUGGCUAACCAUCUAUAAACCUUUUCAAUGAAUUAAUAAGACCUAGUUGGUUGUCAUUAUUCAAGAUUUGGCACCAUCAACUGCAAAGUUGGAAAAAGACAGAAAUCUUAUGGAUAUCCAUUUGAUUAUUAGCCAAAUCUAAUCUCAUCUAAAAUAGCAUAAAUCUUCACCCAAGAGAGCUUGCAUUGCUGUAAGAGUUCAUAUGAAAAUAAUUUGAAGAAUAAAGUUAGAAAAUUCUUUGUUCCCUUCAAUUAAUUCUAUCAUUAAGGCAAGGACUUAUAAACAAUCUUUGGUCUAAUGAACACAUAGCGUACGUCUCUGCCAAGAAUGUUUGAGAUACUAUGGUUGACGAGGGAACAUAUCAAAAGUGACCAAGAUGACCAUAUGCUUAAUUCAUUAUGUCUAUGAAAGUUUAAAAACUUCCAAAGCUGAAACAACCGUCAAAUUUAACAUUCUUCAUAUUACCAAUCCAAACCUUUUGCUUUAUGUGAGAAAAUCUCACGAAUAAAGUUAGUUAAUUAUCAAAAAGGUUUUAAUUAUUUAAUUAUUUAUUAUUGUUUUGUGUUGCAAUCUCGAUGGAAGAAUUAAAAGAAAAAACAGGAACAUUUUAAAAAACAACAAGAAGUUAAAAAAAAAGUCUUCAAAAUCAAAUAACGCGUACGUUAUUGUAAAAUCAGAAAGAAAAAACAACGUUUUCUAUAUAGGGUCCACGCUAAUUAAGCAUAGGUUUAGGUAGUCAUUUUCCAUUAAAACUUGAGAAAAAGACAUGUUUCCAAUGGAAUGGAAUGGACCUCCAAUUAUGGUCAUUCUUUGCAAUUUCUUAACAUUGUUUAGAGACCCAAUCUAUAGGAAGAAUUUAAUUGCAAUUUGAAUAGUAAAAUAUGUUUAAAGAGAGUUAGAGAGAGACUUCUGGAAUUGGAACUUGACGUAGACUAUGACUUGGUGCGUACGUCGCCUUGUCCCCAACGCGCACGGGGGCACCACAUUUGAGUGCCUUUCUCAACUUUCCCAUUCUCCCAUUUUAGUUCAAAUUUCAAUGCCCAAAUCAAAAUGUCUUCCAUACUUUUCCAACCUAAUUUUCUAUUAAUAAUACCUUUCUUUUAACUCUUAUUAACGUUUCAAAAAUCAUGCUUAAACUAUCUUCUUUGAGUUGUCUCGACUUUGGAGGGUUUUAAUAAGCUUUAGUCGGAUAUGGAUUUAAAUUAUGAUCAAAGUUUUUUCAAAAAAUAUUUAAAAUUAAUUUUCUCAAUUACAAAUGGAUAUAUACAUAAUAUAUUUAAUUAUAGGGUGAAUGAAAGGAACAGAAAGGCAAGAAGUUUCUGAUGAAUAAUGAUAUAUAACUUAGUCAACCAAGCAAUCUCUCAAUGCUACGUUCUACAUUGAAAACAAGAAAAGGUCUCUCCAUACGGACCUUCCCACCCAUCUUCCCCCAUUGUCAAUUCUUUCCCUAACCACACAUUGAUUACAAUUACGAUCUCCAACUACAAAAAACAAUUAAUUCCAACUAUAAAAAACUUCUAAUCUCUCCAUCUUCCAUCGUUUCACCCAUUUUCAAUAACAAUGGAGGUGUUCAACAAAGCCAAGGCCGUGAGACUCCGAGCCCACAACGACAAGUAUCUAGUAGCCGACGACGACAACCAAACCAUCCGCCAGAGCCGCAACCGCACAUCUCGCAAAACUAUAUGGGUAGUAGAAGCAGUAUCGGAUCAAGGCAUACGGCUCAAGAGCCUGGCCCGUGGUCGGUACUUGAGCGCAUCGGAUUUGCCAUUCCUGCUGGGGAUGACGGGGAACAAGGUGAUGCAGGUGGAGGUCGAGAAAGGUUCGGAGUGGAUGGUGAAAUGGGAACCGGUGCAGGAAGGGUUCCAGGUGAAGCUGAGGAGUUGGUGUGGGACUUACUUGAGAGGGAAUGGUGGGACUCCCCCUUGGAGAAACUCGGUGACUCAUGAUCAGCCUCACACUUCCGCUACUGGGAAGUGGAUUCUGUGGGACGUGGAGAUUGUGGAUCAUUUUGAAUUCGAUGGCUUAGCCUCUUUCUCUAGCUUUGCUUCUGAUGAGCCCUUUGGGUCCGAACCUCCAACACCCUUGACUACUAAAACACAGGUAAAUUAUUAUUAUUCCAUUCUGAUUUUGAUCAAAAACUUAACUAACUGUUCGAAACCGAUCGAACCGAACACAGCUGUUCAAAUGUGAGAAGGAGUUAUUCCAUUAAAGCCAUUCCUAACCAAAUCUAAUCCGACAACAUUUUUAAAAAUCCUUAAUCAAUAUAUUGAAAAUCUGCCAGCUCAGUUGUGUAUGCUCAAUGAGAUAAACCAUAGGCAAUUGGGUAGUAAAUUAGUUUAAUAGAACUAACAAUUUUGUAUUUAAUUUCUUGUUUUGUCAUAUAUAAUUAACGACCAAAUUAACUCCUUAACCAGAUUUUCUGCCAUGUAGUAAUUAAUGAAUUAUACUGUCAACAAACACACAUUAUCUCUUUUCAAAUGGACUUCUCUCCACUAAAUAAAGAAGUGUUCUUAAACAAUUUAAAUAUAAUGAUCACUAUUUAUCUCAUAAUUCAUACCUAGCAAUUAAAUACUAUGUUAAUAUAAUCUACCUAGAAAACGAACAUACAACUAUUUUUUCACUAGUCCAAUAUUAAUUUUCUAGAGAGGCUGUGUUGGGGGAACUUUUGGCCACCAAUUUUUUAAUGAUCAAUAUUUUACACUUUUCCUAGAUUAAAAUACAGUAAGCCAAUUGAAUGAUUUUAUAUAAAAUAUUUUAAAUCUUGUUUGACUAUGUCACUCUUUUACAUUAUCAUUCAAAAUAUUAUAUACAUACGUACACUACUUUCCACUAUUUUAUAAUAUAUAGCCUUACUUUAAUUAAUAAUUCAACAUUGUUCAACUAAUGACUUUCUUUUACUCAUGGACUUUCUUUAGUCAAAUUUGACAAUCAAAUAAUUAGCAAUACCGUGUAUUAAAUAAUUCAAGCAUUGAUUGAUUGAUACUAAUGGUACCAAAUAAUUGAAUAGAUAUUCAUUGUUGUUAUCAUUAUUAUUUUAUAAAGAUAAUAGGUGAGUGUAACGAAAAGAAAGACCUAAAAUUUUGAGGUCUAGAAAUUAACGAAACAACAAAACAUAAUAAGAAAGAGAAGGCAACUAGAAAUGCCAUGAAUGAGUACGUUUAGGUUUGAAUUGAUUUUGUAAGUGUGUAUGAGCGUAAAAACAAUAAAAAGGUGAAUAUACUAAAAGUGAUUACAUGAUACCAACAAAAGGAAAAAGAGAGAGAAGAAUGAAAACAAAGAAAAGUAUGUUUUAAGGAAGCUAGCUGGAUUGGUUGGAACUACGAAACUCAUUGGACCAGAAACUAAAACUAAGACCCAAUUUUACUUUCCAUAUCCGCCAAAACAGAAAAAGGGGAAAAUUCUUAGACUUUUACCAUUCAAAUUCAGUUUUCAAGAUCAAUUUCUUCUAAACUAUAUGAAACAAAACUCGAAAGCAACAGCUAUGAAAAUCAAAAGUUGAAUCAAUCCGUGUUUAUCCAAUUCUUUCCCACUUUCCUCCAAUCUCCCCCCCCAUUGGCCAUAAUCACUCACCAAGAAUCUUCCUCCAUUUCUAUUUCUCACUCAUAAAAUGCUCAAUCAUUUCAAUCAUUUUUCUCAUUCAGUUCUAUAAUUUUUCUCAAUUUCUUCCAGAUUCGUCACAGCUCGUCUGUUAUGGAUUUGUUUCGCAAUGCUAAAACGAUCAGACUCCGGAGCCACCACAAGAAGUAUUUAUCCGCUGAUGAAGAUGAGGAAUCCGUCGUUCAGGACCGGAAUGGAUCAUCCAAGAACGUUAGGUGGACUGUCGAGUUCGUUUCCUUCUCCGAUGCUAUUAUCCGCCUGAAAAGCUGUUACGGGAAGUACUUAAUGGCGUCCAACCAGCCGUUCUUGCUUGGAAUGACUGGGCGGAAGGUUAUGCAAGCUCGUCCUGAACGGUUUGAAUCUUCGCUUGAGUGGGAGCCGGUUAAGGAUGGCUCCUUCCUUCGUCUCAAAACAAGGUACGGUAAUUACUUGAGAGCUAACGGCGGUGUUCCCCCGUGGCGGAACUCGGUUACUCACGAUGUACCGCACCGGGCUUCUACUAAGGAUUGGAUUCUAUGGGAUCUUGAUGUUGUGGAUAUCGAAACUCAAUCUUCUGUUCAUAAAACCCUAGAUCAUCCCUCCGACCCGGAUUCACCUCUGGAGGUGGAUUCAAUUUCGUCCUCGGUUUCACAAGAUUCCGCUCGUCCUUCAACUGCUGAGGUAUGUUACUAAACUUACCACCGUCAAUUCAUUUUCAUGAAACCCCAAUAAAUAUUUAUUUUGAAUUGAUUUCAAAAUUUAUCACAAAUGAUCAGUACAACGUUGGUGGAGGAUCAAAUUCACCUCCAAAAUCAGAGGGGAGGAGGAUAUCUUUCCUAUUUGCUGAUGAAAAUGGAGAAGAUGAGGAUUCAGAGAGACAUUCAUUGAAUUUCAAUGGGAAAGGAGUGGAGGAUUUGACUCGUAAAUUAGAAGAAGAGAUGGGAAUUGAAGGUGUAGUUGUAUGUACUCGUAGCCCUCUGAAUGGAAAGCUUUACCCAAUUCGGUUGCAACUUCCUCCCAACAAUGGAACUUUGAAGGUUGUUCUAGUUCUGAAGUCUUCCACAUGUAAGAAUGAAUCUGUUCUUCUUCCUUAAUUGAUCUAUAUAUUUGAUUUGACAAAUGUUCUUUUUUUUCUCUUAACCUUUGGGUAUUGAUGAUUUUGAAACAGUGGGAAGUGAGUUUGAGAAACAAGGCUUGCUUUGAUAUGAUAUAGAAGAGAAAAGGUUGAUUCAAACAGGGGCCAGGCCAAAGCAGAACACAAAUCCUACCCUCAUCAUAGUAAUGAAGAACAGAGAUGUAUUGAAGUAAUGUAUAGUGAGUACUGAGUAGUGUAGAUAAUAUAUAUGGUGAAGAAGAAGCAGGAGGGGAGGGGAUGGCGUAUUUGAUUUUAUUUGAAUUCAUUAUUAAUUAAAUAGACAACAACAUAGUAGCAGUAUUCUUUUAAAUCUUUUUUCUAUUGGAUUCUAUGUUGUGUUGCACUAUGAAAUAUAAACACUUUUGUGUUUUUGUAGAAGUUGAGUAUUAAAUAAAUUAUUUGCUGCCAUUUCAACUGCUCUUACAAUCUUAUAGAGUUUGUAAAUAGGAACUAAAGUAAAAGAGUGAUACUUACAUGAUGCCCUCAUGUAACACAUUAUUAACAAAUCAAGUAUAUCUCUCUAGCGAUUCUUUACUGUUUACAUUUAUUUUGUUCAUAUUUAAAUGGUGAUUUGAUAAUAGGAUAAACAAAUGAUGAGGUGUCUUGACAAUUUGGUUGAUUGAUUAAAGUAAAGCUAGAAGUGGCUAAAAGAAUCAAAUUUGUGUGUAUGAAAAGUAGGUUCCUAGUAUCAUUCAAGCAUGCUUAAAAUCAACUCCUCAGUUCAUCAAAAUAUUACAAGGAGGCUAAGCUCUAAGUUAAUUAAACUUCAGACUUAAUAACAACUCACAUGGUCACACUACAUUAUUGCAAUAAUACUAUACUAUUUGGCUUCUCUUAUUCAUUGUUGCUCACGAAACUUGUUGCUUACAGAGCUCUGUUUCAUGGUAAUCACAAACAGUUAAGAGUUUAAAAUAGUAAUUGAAGAUUUUGGAGAAAAGGAAGCAAGAUGAAUGUAGCUCAACAUCCAAGAUGGAUUCUUCACAUGAGUUUGAGGCAGGGCCGUGUGAUAAAGAAGAGAAUUUGUAGAUUUGGAAUAACUUUGUGUUUUUCCAAUUAUGCUUAAACUAUAUGAGUUUUUGUUAUUAUCUUUACCUUAAUACUUGCUUUCUAUUCUUUAUUUUAAUGCAACUAUUAUCUACACAAUUGUAUUCAAAGAAAAUUUUCAAUGAGUUCAUAAUAGAUAUAUGACGUAUGAUUUACAUUUUAGUUUGUUCCGUAUAUAAAACGUUAAAAGAAGAAUAUUGAACUAACUAUUCUAGAAAAUUUUUAAAUUACCUACAACAUGAAAUUAGUGAAUUAGACAUUACUACGAAAACAACUUUAUUUGAGACCUACUAUUUAAAAAUAUUGAUGGAUUUAAUAAAGUAAGUAUGGAAUAACAAAAAAGUGAAAAAAUGCACAAUCUUUCAAUAUUAUUUUUUAGACUUGAAGAAUCAACUAUUUCUAAAUAAACCCCAAACUUGCAUUCGGUUCUCUCUCCAUAAUUUUACCCCCAACUAUUUUUCGUUUGUUCUUCCCUUCCCCACAAAGACUGCCGUAGCUCCCACAGGUGAACUUCUCCAUCUCUCUCUCUCUUUAAGUGCGAUAUUCCCUCAGUCGCCCUUCACCUUCAAUCUCUGAACUUGAUCGCCGACGCAGCCCAGUCCUGACUGCCGCGCCCACGUCCUAAAACGUUUUUUUGACGAGCAGCUUAGGUAACAAUGGUCUCUUCGUGUUUCUAUUGUUCGUUCUUAUUUCCCAAUAUCUAUGUGGUUUCUAUUUGGGUUUCCCACUUUGUUUUUGCUUUGGAAUCAAGAGUUCGAAUGUGCUUAGCACUCUGUCCAGCAAGAUUAAGGACGUUGCCCGGGCAUUCGUGUCAGUUUGGAGUCCAUUCAAACACGAACCAACAGGUAAUAUUAAUCAGCGGGUAAGGAUUUGUUUUCAUGACUUUCAAACUCGUUUAAGUUCGGUUAGUUAUUCUUGGAUUCUUAACCGUCAGAGCAAAAUUUAAACUUCAUUAUUGAUGAUAGAAGCUUAAAAUUGUCAUCACUUCAAACUUGAUAGUUCUAAUCUCAAUGCUUUUUUUUUUUUUUUUUUUUUUUGCAGCGUUUGGUAUUAAGAAAUUCAUCAUUCUAUGGCUCCUCGGAAAUGUCAGGUUUGCAAUGAAGCACCAUCCAAAUACAAAUGCCCCCUAUGCCUUGCACCUUAGUAAGACAAACAAUAAAAUUUGUUUUAGGUUGUUUUUGCGUAGUUUUUAAUGAAAAGUCUGACCUUCAUUCAUUUGUGUGCUGGCCUCUUCCUUUCACUUUGCUUGAAGCUGCUCUCUGGUAUGUUUUAAGAAACACAAAGGUGCUGUUCUUUUGGACUUAGUUUUUUAUUAUUGUAUUUAUGUUCUAUAAAUUUGUAUGAAGUUUCAUGUUCAGACGGUCUACUGUUCUAGUUGGCUAUUUAUUUUGGGAUAAUUUCAUGAUGUGGUGAAAUCGCUAGUUGUCUAGAUCAUUGCUACUUGUUCUUUGUUAUGAAUUUUAACUCACUGCCCAAGUUUAAAGCAGAUCAUUGUUCUAAGUCCCCUUGCCUGUACUUUUACCUUCUUUAACGGAUUAGUUGAUGCUAACUGGAGGGUCGGGUAUCUGUUUAAGAUUUGAAUGUACUGGUCAUGUUCUUUCAAGUUGAGUUACUCUUGAAUGUCUGCUCCAAUAAGUGGUUCAUAGACUGUUCUUUUACGUUAUACAUUGGAAGACCUCCAAAUUUUAGACUAAGUUAGGAAAUUUAUUAAUUUAUCUAUUGCGAGCUAGACUCUUGGAGAGAUGUUGAUCAUAUUCGAUAUGCAGAAGUUUAACGUAAUCUUGGGCAUGAAUUGGUUAGUUGCUAACCAAACCACCAUCGAUUGUGUCAAGAAGGAAACCCCUUGCGGACUGACAUAUGACCUAAAUUAAGUUCAAAGGUGCAAUGCAUGGAAGUCCAAAUGCUGUGAACAUUAGCGUAGCAUGGGGCUUUGGUGUAUUUGUCAAAUGUUGUGAAUAUUUGAUGUAUCCUAAGUAACCUCAAGGAGAAAUCCUCCAAGAACCAAGAUUGUGAAUCUUUUAUGAAAAUGAGUAAUGUGCUUCAUACAAGAGGAGAUGACUCAUAUUUAUAGAGUUCUAUUACAAGUGGGGGUAAAAAGGAAAUUAACCUAGAUUAUUAGCUAAUUACUCAAUUAACCCUUAAUUUUCUCACAUCAUUCUACCCCUCCAAAAAGAAAACAUGUCCUGAGUUUUAAAAAGAAGAAAUUUAUGAAGAAAAAGAAUGAAAUAAACUUGUUCAAUGGAGUAUGACCAAGCCACCUUGUUCAACAAAGUAUGACCAAGCUAAUCUCCUACGUUUUGUACAAAAAUAUUAUGAUCAAGGGGAUAAAAUCGAGACAAAAAAAUCAGAUAUGGCGACUAAAAGAUGAACCUUUCCAUCAGCCGUAAACUCGAAAAAGUUGUUCCUUUAAUCUCACUCGAAAAUGUAUUCAAAGAAUCAAUCUCAAAAGAAUUAGCUUUCGAAGAGUAUCCUUGAAGAAUCACAUUUUCUUUAUCAUUCCCUUCAAGUUCUUCAACGGUUUGGUAAUUCGUUUCCACCGAAACCAAUGUGUCGUUCUUAUUCGAUUUUUGCUUGGUGUUCGAUACUUUUUUUUCAUCUUCUUUGUUGGAUUUUUCUUCACUUGUGACCAUAUCCAAAUCAACUUUUUCAAAUUCUUGUUCUUCAAUUUUAUCUUCAAGAUUUUCUAUUUGAAAAAUUUUCAACCGUGAUUCCUUUGUUUUUUCGUCCGUAUAUGAAACCAAUUCCUUCUUGAACUCUUGCAAAUGAAUUGAUAGUUGUAUGUUGAGUCAUUUCCUCCAAUGAGAGUUGAAUUUCUUUUGUUGUUUUCUUUAUUUCCUCCAUUGCUGCAGGAUCAAAGUAGUUAUUUUGUUGGAUUCUUGAAUAUGUUGCAAUCUCAUAGCACGUGUAAGACUCAUCCAUUGAUUUUCUUGAAUUAACCUUUCUUGAUCGUGUUUCAUAACCAAAAGAGUAAUUUUGAGCCUUGAAUGUUCUUCCUGGAUGGUUAAAGUCUAUUCUUGAUGAUUUUUUAAUUCAUCCAACUCCCAAUCUUUACAUUGAUUUCUUGAAAAAUGGGUUUGAUCGGAUUGUUUGGGUCAUUUUUUUGACAUUGUUGCCUUCUUAUUCAGUCCCAAACAGCCUUAGAGAAAUCAUUGGAGUCACUAGAAUCAGUAGAACAAAUUUCCAAUGUGGAUUAUGAUAGGUUCUUUGAGAAAAUUGAGCAUGGUCAAAAAGUUUUAAUUCAUACUUCAGGCAGUUUCCUUUAAAUAGUAAUUUUCUGUUUGGUUUUAAUGACCUUGGUAUCGUAAUUGAGUUUAAAUACUUAAAAAAAAGUUACUGACAUUCUCUAAUUUAGUCUGAAAUUUGGGGGCGUUUCACAUGCCAUCUGUGGUUAGCAUUCAAUUCUGUUGCUAUGAUAACUUGUGUCGUUUGCAACUUGUGCAGAAGUGCCCUGUGCCAUCAAGCCUGUGUCUGAAGGGGACCAGUCAAGUAAGUCUAUACUCACGUUUCAUUUAUUCAAAUAUGUCAUGUAUGUCAGGAUCGCUCAAUAAUUGUCUAUUUGAUUCCUUCCAGAUUUUAUCCUUGUUCAUUCUUUGGGUAUUCAUCAUACUUGCUGACCUUUUUUAUUCUUUCCAUCUAAAGCUGCUUGCAACGGAACAUUUGUGGAUAGGCCAAUAUGUGUUGGAGACCAGAAUGAAGUACUUGAAAAGUCGCAGCUAGAGGCUAUUGGUAUUAAUUCAUAUUUACUGAUUUUAUUACCUCAAUUUAUACAUGAUCAUAUUUGGUCCCAAAAAACACUUGACAUGCAUUUCUAAUUCUUACAAGAGUCAGACGAAUUUCAAGGGUUAUGUGAGACAGAAAUCUUCAAAAUCUCAUGGUUGCAAAAUGUUUACUAGAUUAGAUCAUAUGAAAAAUCUAGUAUAUAACAACCUUCUCUCGGACAUUUGUUUGGUUAACGUUCUGAAGCUUUGGAUAGGAAAAUAUCAUUUGAGAAGGGAUCAAGUUUGGAAGGUUGGACGUGACAAUUUGUAUGUCAAGGCGAAACUAGGAAUGGAAACUAUGUUUUAUCACAUUUUUAUUUACGCAUCAAGAAUAAUUUUGUUGCUAGUUGUAAAAGCAUUAUUGAACUUACAAUCUAGGUUUCUACGCAUCUUUCUUACAGCUUCUUCCUCAGAAAUACACAAUAUUUUGAAUGAUGAGAAACUCCAGAAGUUUAUCCUUGCCAUUGAUAGCUCACCAGAUCCAGAAACUGUGAGUAUUUUGCAUCUUCCAUUGCGUGAGGAAUUAUACUCCUAACCAACUUCUUGCUCCAUUAUAGUCAUCAUCUACGAACGGUUGUAAAUGUGAAUAUCAAUAGUUAAAAACGUUUGUUUAAGUUGGUUGUUGUUCUUAUUAGGAAGUUGAUAAAGCUAUGGAAGAUGAAGCAUUUCGCAUUUUCAGUAGCAAGGUACUAUUUUUAAUAUCUUUUAUCAUCUGUGACUUGUGAUGCAGUCGUCAUGAGCAUGCCGGAUAAAUAUUUUCGUUUGUUUUAAGCAUUUAUUCUCUCUGUUGGUUAGAUAUCAUCCAUCAUCAACUCUUAGACCUAACAGUCAUAGAUGGAGGAGGGAAAGACAUGUAUAUGUAUAAACAACUAGACGUUUCUGCCCCCUUGGCAUAAUGGAUCAACUUAGCAGAUGAUGAUUUCAGCAAAGAACGACGCUUCUUGGUUUGUAGUAAUGCUGGGAGACCAUCUAAGUGCUCAGCUGCUAUGUUUAAUGGUGAUCAAUGUACCAAAUUAUACUGAUCAGUUUUCAAGUACUAUAGGAACAUCUCCUUUUGACGAUCACCCAAACUCGUAUUUGAUGAUUUCUUGGCUGAAUAGGAUGUUGCAAGCCAUGUUUUGACUAAAAGACUUGCCAUUGAAUUAACCAACUGAAAGUUGAAGGUUUUACGAUUUUAUAUCAUAAAAUUUGCAUAGGUUUUAGCACGAUAAAUCAGACUAAUAGCGUGUUUGGAUUGAUUUUUGAAGUGUUUAAUUUUUAAAAUAAUUCAUUUAAAGAUAAAUUGAAGUGUUUGACAUUGGUUUAAUAAAUUGAGGUGUUUGACCUUUGUUUAAAAUAACUUUUAGAAAAAUGAGGUUAUGAAAUAAAUCGUUUUCACACAUAGUCAACAAAGAAUUCUUUUCAAAUAUCUAAUUUUCUUUCUCUAUUUUUUCUAUUCAUUUUUACUAUUUAUAUUUCAUCCCAUCUUUUUUGUUUUGUUUUUCUUUUUAUAAAUAUUUUGAAUAUUUUUUCAAUAUUGGUUCAUAUACAUUUAAAUAUAUAGAUUUGCAAAUAUUCCUCUCUCAGCCAAAUUUAUUUUGUCUUAACAUAUGUGAAAGAAAUCAUGAGAAUGUCACUAAAGAACAUGAUCUCGUCCGGUUCAUGAAAUGAAGAUGACGUAGAACGUGAUCAAAUUACACAUCUUUUUUUCUAGCUGAUAAUAUAUUGUUUUGAAAGAAUUAUUAUCUUAUUUACAUUUUUUUUUUUGUUGGAAAUGUGCAAUUAAUUGAAAAUGUAUAUUUCUUUAGGAAAUUAGUGCAUAAUAUUUAAUAGUUUUUUUUAUAAAAAUUUGAUUAAGUGUAAACAUUGUUAGUGCGGACCAAACCAAACACAGUAAAAGUACACAAUAAAAGUGGGUGGUUCAGGCUGGAAGGCAAAUGGAAGGUUGGGGGUUAAAGAAUUUGGGAAAUAGAAUGUACUAAAGAAUAGUAUGAGCAUUACAUUAAAUGGAGAUGGAGAGGGGGAAAGGAAACAAAACAAUGAAAUAAAUAAGUAGAUUGUCAAAACUCAAACAGGGUAGUGUUUGGAUUUCCAAAUUUAUUAAGAAAACAACAAAAAGAAAGUGCCUACAAAUGGGUUCCACAAACAAAUGUAUAAGGACCCUUACAUAUCUUCUUCAAUCAUUUCUUCCAACCAAAUAGUUUGUAUCUAUCCUUCAUCUGCUUCAUAUAACAUUACUUUACUUUUUAUCUUAUAUAUUUCUAACCUUUUUAUUUUCAUUUCUUUUAUUCAUUACUUACUUAUUUAAUCCUUUAUUAAUUUUACUCUGAAAAAUUUAUCCUUCCACAAUUAUUCAAAAUUUAUAUGUUAGACUUUAAAGAUGUGUAUCACACACGUGUAACUUAUUUUAUAUUUAUAAGAUUUGUAAGAUUCAAUAAUUUAGGAGGGUGAGGUGAAUAGAAUCUUAUUAUUUAAGUUUUUAAUAAAGUUUGGAGGAGAAUUAUUUUAAAGGGAAAAGCAACAAAAUUGGAACCAAAUUCUUUUCAAAUAGUAUGGAAAUUUUAUUUUAUUUUUUUGUAAAAACAUUUGAAAAUUGCUAACAUUAGAAGGAAGAAAACCCGUAGAAUUAGGGCUUAAUUUCGCAAUGAUGUAAAUUAAUUAAAUAAAAGCAAAACUCAAAUUGGAUAAGUCAUUGCUUAACUUUGUAAAGAGAGAAACAAAACAAAUUGUGUCAUCGUUCUCAUCUUUCUAUGCCAUUUCCGUAAUGAAACAGGAAAACUGCUGAGGCAAAUCAAAACGUCCAUAAAUCUCCUUACAUUUUCUUUCUUCUUUCUGGAAACCCAACCCCAUGUCUUCCCUUUUCUCCUUCUCGGCCAGAAUUUUGCCCACUCUCCAAACAAAAUUCUUUCAGCCCUAUUUUUCUUCACUACCCAUUUCCAAAAAUUUCAUUUCCCCCCCCGGAAAACCUUCACCCAUGUCGAAACCUGCGGCUGGGAACAGAUUGUUCUCGAUCAUGUCCACUGCUCAACCUCCCAAUGGACUGCAAGGAUCAAGGGUUAAGGUUGAUUUUCUUGUCAUUGUUGGUUAGAGUUCUUCUUCUGUUUUUCUUCUGCUUUGAGUUAAUUUCAUUGCUUUUGAAGAUUUAAAGUUAUGGGUUCUGAUGCAUGUUGGCAGGGAGCUGAAUCCUUUCUUAGGAACGUUUUGGCGAGCAUGGAGGCUGUUUAUCUGCGUCGGAAUCCCACUGCAAAAUCCGUUUUGGAGCUUGUUCGAUCUGUUCAUGGUGAUACAAUUUGUUAUGAUCAUAUUGCAUUUAGAACUUUUGGGGUAUUUUUCUUCCUUCCAACUCAUUUUUAUUUUCUGGAUUCAUCAUUCAAUCUCAGCAAACCCACUGCUUAUUGUCAAAAGCAAAUUUCAGUUGACAAUGGUUGGACGAUAUAAUAUUACAUUUACCUCAUGAUCUUGUUCUGGUUUGAAUUUUAGUAUUUUGAAUUGUGUUGAUUUGUGUUUUGGAUUAGGAGGGUUCCUUUGUUUGUUGUUUUUAAUUUCUCUGUAAUUUUCUUUUUAUUGUAGCUUUGAGUUUUAAAUAUCAAUAUAAUAGAAAGACUACGUCAGUGUUCUUUCAAGGUCCUAUUUUCAAAAGUGAGUAGAUAUUUUAGGAGGUCCUAUAUUCAAAGUGGUUUAAAUCAAGUGGAGAUGACACAAAUGCUAAUAUUUUAAGUAAAGGCGAACAAAGGUUGUGCCAAAGUUAUUCAAUUUCUAAAGCUGGGCCGUAGAACAUAAUUGGGGUUGAAGUUGUAAUCGUACUCUACUUCAGUUGUACAAUGCAAACUAAUUGAAUUGAGUCAACAUUGUUAAAUAAAAAGAGCUGCUUGAUGUUGGUUGAGUCAACAAUCAAUUCUCUAGUGUAGCUAAUGUUGAAGUUGUGUUUGUACUCUGUGAUGAACUAGAUUGAUGGUCAUGGGAUUGACUCAUUAGCAAGCUUUUUUCUGGAUUUUGGAUAUACUCAAAAAGAAGAAUUAUCAUUCCCAGCCAAAAAGUUGAAAGCAUUUUGGUUUUCACCUCCCUCCAUUUCUAAUGCUGCUUAUGAUGGUGAUGGAGUCAAUGGUCCUCUGCCAAGAGUGUUCAUAUCUCAACUUCUUGUGGAUCAGAUGAGUAAACAAACUCAGGUGCGUUUCAUCAAAUUCUCGAUAUGCAAAAAUCUGAGUAUAUUUUUUCAUUUUGAAAUUUGGCUACAACUUGUAUCUUGGUUCUGCAGUAAGUGUAUUGUUAGCGAUGUAUUAGUCAUAAGGUAGGAAUAGGAUGCAUUUUGUGUUUUAUCCAUUUAAGUUGGUGCUUUAUGCAACAAAACCUUAGCUUUCCUAUCAUUUUUCCUACUGCAUUCAGGACAUAAUCAGAAAAUACACUGAAUGUUCUUGCAAUGGGAAUAAGCAUGCUGCUCUGGCUGGUGCUCUGGGUUCCUUGACAUGGGAAAAGCCUUCGCAUUCAGAGUUUGAGCAAUUAGCAAGGUUUUCAAUCUCUCAUGACUUUGAAACUUAUGUUAUUUAGUCCACCAUAUUAUCAUGGAGAAUGAACCAAAUUUCAUUGCUGAAAGGUGAUUUGACCAAGAAUUUGAAGACAAAAAUGCAUACCCUUUUGCUUGUUACGCUUAUGUUUAACUGAUCAUACAGCAAUGCUCCUUUACUUUCAUGCUUGCCACCUCUGGAAAUAUUGUUGGCAAGUGGUUUGGAACAUUAGGAAAAAGUAAUUGUAUUAUUGUUUUUAAGAUCUGGGUCAAAGGCAUUUCAGCUGAUACACGUUACUACUGUGCCAAAUAUGGAGUUGCUAGUUCUUUUGUGGCUGAAAGUAGUUGUUGAACGCAUGGUUUUAGACUCUGAUGACUUAUUUUAAUCAACUUGAAUACAUAGGGAGAGCGAAUAUGCUGCGUGGACUCUUGUAAAUGGUUAUGCACUUAAUCAUGUGACUAUUUCGACCCAUCGCCUGAAAUCUCAUCUGAAAGAUAUCAAAAGCCUCAAUCAGUUCAUUGAAGAGAAUGGUUAUAAACUGAAUUCUGAAGGUGGUGUUUUGAAAGGUACAUGACACGACUACUCUUCUUUUACCUCAUAUUUAUCAUCUAUUGAUCUAAUUGCUAAAAUGUGAGCACCGGUGCUAAUAAACUCGAUCUUUUCUUUUUCAGUAAGCCCGGAUGGUCUUCUCCUGCAAAGUUCAACCCUUGCCGAUUCGAUUUCUUUUGAAUUUUCUGAUGGCAUUACUGCUUCUGUCCCCUGUUCGUACAUCGAGUUUGCUGAACGUGCGUUACUGCCUCAGUAUAAACAUCUUCCAGAAACAGAGGUAAUCAAAACAAAAGAUUGAGAUCAUUGAACUUUUAAAAGUUGAGAAAAAUGGAAAAAAGAACAUCAUAUUCCAAACUUGUACAGGUGAAGGAGUAUCACAGAAGGGAUGGGUUUGAAGUAGGAAAUGCUGAUAAGAUCUUUGAAAGUACAUCCAAACAGCAGCAAAUGUCAAAUGCUUGAAGCCAAAUUGCUACAAAUAGAAGGGCAAUGGGAGGUUUAAAUGCGAUGGGGAAGUAGGAAUUCCACACCCUUUAAAAUAAUUCCCAAUUUGAAGAAUUGGUGCAAAGGUUAUUAGUGUAUCUAAUUAAUUCUAUCUAUACUUAGAUAUAUGUAUAUAUAUAGCUGAAACACUUCCUAAUAUGAUUUCAAAUAAAUCUAACCUCCUCCCUAGAAUGUUCACCAAAGUCGGGCAUCGUUUUUUUUUUACAAGCAGCAUCAUCGAUUAGUAGUUGAUGUAUCAAAUUUGAAAAUAUAUGCAACGAAAUAUUGUGAUAUCAAGGAAGAAAUCUCCAAAGGAGAAAAGUACGUUUACUAACAAUCUGCUCGAAACAUUCCUAACUUAUUACUUGUGCAGUAUCCUGGGUUCACAUUAACCUUGUCCAAUCUGCUCAAAACAUUCAUAACUUAUUACUUGUGCAAUAUCCUGGGUUCACAUUAACCUUGUCCUGUCCUCAAGGUUGUACCGAACAAAUGCAAGUUGAGGGCAAAAAUCAUCUAUGUUCAUUCAUAUGGUUUCUUGCUCCAAGAGGCCCAUGCAACUCAUCGAUAGUUCUUUGGUGGUGUCAGAUUGGGGGUUGGGGGUAUCUGACUAUGUUGCUAAUUUUGCUAUCUAUUCAAAAUAUUUAGUUAGCAUCUUGUUUAUUCAGGGAUGAUUUUGAAACAAGAAACAAAUGACACUAUGGACAUCAAGUUAGGACAAAAACAAUGAGAUCAAGAAAAUAGCCUCUGAGGAAGGAGUGUUAGUGUCAAGAUCCAAACCAAUGUAUUAUUAAAAGGUGGAGCCUAGCAACAAAAUAAUUGGAUUUGUUUUGCUAAUUUGAUUUUUCUUAUGAAAUCUUAUUGGGAUAAAUUAGAUCAAUUAUAUCUAUAAAUAUAUUAUUACAGUUCAUAAAACAGGAGUCCAUUCUCCACUUGUGAACUCUAACUUGUUGCAUUUGUUUAUUUUUUGGCUUGGGCAUCAUAACUAGUCUGGCAAAAGAUCAUAAUUGUUAGCAAAUAUUUUCCCGUAAGAGUUUUUGCAUGAACAUACUUGUCCACAAAUUUAACAAACAGAUAGAGGCAAGAUAAGUUUGCAACACCACCGUCGGUAUUAGAGAGAGAUUUUUGACAAAAUGAAGUUGCCGUAUGUGUAUAUGCAUGCAAAUUAGAAUGAAAACAAUUUUCUAAAAACAUCUUGAGCUGAACGCUACAUGAUUUAUGAGCCGAACGCUACAACAUAUGUGGUUCUCCUACCAUCACUCUCAACGUUUUCUAUAUAAUUAAGUAACUUUAAUACAAACAAACAUAAUGAAAAUCAAUUUUAAAUAUUUGAAAAUUAUUUUUAAAAUUUUGGAACCAAACAAAAAUUUGAUUACUUAAAAAUCAAUUUUACAAAAUCAAUGAUACAUAAUUUUCCCCCCUAAAAUCACUGGUACAGUUAUCCAUCUCACACACAUCCUAAAAAGUUUUGAUAUUUAGAGUUAUGAUAUUUUGAAAGUGGAUUUUUUUAUUUAUUUUUAUUUUCUUCUUUGAUAUUUAGAGUUUGUUAUGAUAUUUUUAGGUUGUGAUGUUUUCUUUGAACAAAUGUGGAAUUUAUUUUCUUCGUUUGAAGUUACAAAUUUUCUCUACGUUCAAAAUUUACAUAUAUUUGAAAUUUUAUUGUGUCUAUUUGAUUAUUCAAAAAUUUCGUUCUUGUUUCUAUCUUUUGUGUUGUUUAUCUUUGUAUAUGAAUUUCUUUGGUUUAGUUGUAUUGUUGUUGUGUUUUUUAGAAUUUGUAGAUAAUUUCUUUGGUACUUUUGAUUUUGUUUUCUUUAUUUUGUUUGAUAUUAGCAUAGCAAAUAUUAUUCUACUAAGAGAUGAAUUUUUUUUCUUUUCAUUUUAAAGUUUUUUUUCUUUUCAUUUGCAUUUUUGUAUUAUGGGUUAUUUUAAAAUUUUAAAUGUUUUUUUUGGUCAUUUGUUAGUAUUUUGAAUGGGAUACUUUUAAUACUAACAAAUGAAUUUUAGUAUUUUAAAAGUGUCCAUAAGAUCUAUGGAUUGGAACAAUAUCUUUGUACGUACCACUACAACUUUGAUUUCUAUUUUCUCCCAUGCAGAAGAGAGAGACUCGUUUAGAAAUGGUUGGAAACGUUUUUCGAAAAAUUUCAAUGUGGAUUAGCAUAAUUUAGUACUCUUGAUCUGAAAUUUACUUCACAAUACAUGUGCAUAUAUGUCCCAAAUAAAUAAGUGUUGAGUGUUGUGGAAGUUUUGUAACUUGUUUUGUAUAAUUCUUUUAGAUAUCAUGAUUGCACUUGUGGAAAUUCUGCAUUUUUUUUUGACAUAGUUUGAGAAAUUACAUCUUUGUUGACUCAUCCCUUAUAAAAUGUAUUAUUGUUUCUUCUCUGGGUACCAAGGUAUAUUCUUCUAUGUUAUGUUUACCUUCAUUUGUAGUUUCUUUAGUUUUAUUUUUCUUAUGUCAUUGCUUUUCUAUAUAUAGUUUCUUUAGUCUUUGAAUUAGAAGUUGAAGUUCUUAGUUUUAAUGCUAUUCUUAUUUUGUUUGUAGAUUUCAAGAAGUUGAGGAUAACAAUUAGUGAAAUUUUAAUCAGUUUGGAGUUAUCCCAAGAGCAUUGUGGUUCUUGGAGGAGGGUGAUGACUCUAUUUCUUAUUAUUACAUAUACUCAUGUUUUAUGAUUAAGAACGAUGUUCUAUUUUCUGUCUAUGUGCUAUAUGAGACGAGAUUUGUGACUAAUUAGCUAGAAAUAUAUUCACUAUUGAUUUUUCUAUUUUCUGAAUAGGUUUGUAUUUUGUUUUGUAUUCUUUGUAGGAUGAACUCAUCACUUGGUGAUUAGGCUUCAAGUUAAUAUUGUUGAACAAUGUUUAAUGACAUUAGCUAUGAAGUAUUUGUAUAGUUGGGAAGUCUUGGUAACUAUCAUGAGAACUUUUCAUAGCUUGCUUCUAAUAUUUCUCUGUUGAAAGCAUAUUCUCAUUUAUAAAAUUUGAUCUCUUGUGUGCUCUUGGGAGUCAUUUGUUUAUCUAACACGUCAAGAAAGCAUACAAGCAAAUUCCUUUGAAUAUGUGCUAUGUAACUAUCUGUAGGUAAAGUCCUUUUCUCAACUAAACUAUAGGUUACUUUAUGAUGUGAAUUGUCUUUAGUUCUUUUUAAAAGAAUUAUGUGUUGUAUUUAAAGUUCUUGCAUUUAGAAUGGUUAUAUUUGCUACCUUGGUUUGAUAUCAAACUCAUACAAACACUUUGAGCUAGGCUGAGAAGCAAAGAAACAAGGUUAACUUUAUGAUGUAAAUUACCUUUAAACAUCUUUUUUCUAGUGUAUCAUUAAAUGAUAAAUCUAUCAGUUUUUUUUUUUUUUUUUUUUUUUUUUUGUGUGGAGAUUUAGAAUGAUUUUGACCACAUGGUUAUAUUGGUACAAUAUGUAGUUUAAUGAAAAUGGACUUGAAGGAGAUGCCGAUUCUGACGGUGAAGAAGAUGAAAUGGAGGACACUUAUGGUGUAGAAGUGGAACAUCUACACAUUUCAGAUUACCAAGGUUUUGCACUAAUAUUCGAUUGAUUUACUAUAGUGAUGAAGCUACCAAGCAAGUGAUUGACGUUUGAUUCAUGACAAGACUUGAUGUAAUUUAGUUAUCUACAAAAAUACAUUGUAUUUAGUUUCUUUGUAAAAGUAUAUUACCAAGGUUUAGUUUCUAUUUUACUUGUAUUUAUCCCUUUGGGAAAAUUCGAUAGAUUUCGUGUACUUAGUUUUUUUUGUAAAAAUGUUAUAUAUGUUAUUGUUAUAUAUGAAAGUUCUUAUUUAUAUGUGUACUAGUUUUGUGUUAAAAUAGAAUCAUUGAAUUCCAGGAACAAAAAUAUAAUUGAAUUAUAAUUUUUUUAAAAAAAAUACUCAUAACAUUCUUGACGGUUUUAAAAUGUCAUAAACAAGUAUAUCAUUGACAGUUUUUCAAUAUCAUAAACAAAUGAACACUUAUACUCUUGACGGUUUUAAGAUGUCAUAAACAUUCAUACUCUUGACGGUUUUUAACUGUCAUGAACAUUUGUAUACUUGACGUUUAUAAAACGUCAACGUUCAAUAUUCUUGACGUCUUUAUCAACCAUCAAGAACUUUCGCUUUCUUGACACUGGCUUCAAGGACGGUUUUAAAAUCGUCAAGAAUAGUGAUUCUUGACAGUUUAAAAAUGUAAAGAGAGCCUAUUUUUGUAGUAGUGUUUGAAUGGAAUAUUUUAAUUUAGAUUUAUUAUUUUAUUACCUGAUUGCAUUAUCAUUCUCGCCUUUUAUUGUGCCAUUUUUUUAGAUAUAUUUAAUUUAGAUUUACUAUUACUUUUAACUAUGUGGAUUGUUUUGAAUUUCUUCUUUGGGUUCUUUUUGGUUUUUUUUUUUUUUUUUGUUGGUGAUGUUCUUUUAAUUUAGAUUUAUUAUGUUUUAGUUUGCAUUUUGCAUAUGUUUUAAAGUUUUAACUUUCUUCUUGUACGUUUUAAAAUUUUGACUUUCUUCUUUUUUUUUUUUUGUUCAUUUGUUAUAUGAUGUAUUUAUGAGAUAUUUUUAAUUUAUAUUUAUUUUCUUAGGGUGCAAAUUUUUAGGGAUUAUUUUGAAAUUUGGAGUUUGCUAUGAUAUUUUUACUUUUGGUAUUUUUUGUUAGUUUGUGUUAUUUUAUUCUUUGAUUUGAAGUUCAAAUUAUUUUCACCCUCUCUUCCAAACUUGAUUGUAUCUAUUUGAUUAUUCAAAUCCUCCCUUCUUGUUUCUCUCUUUCAUGUUGUUUAGUUUUUUGUUAAUGUGAAAUUGUUUGAUUUAGUUCCAAUGUUAUCGUGUGUUUGAAAUGGUAGAUAACUUGUUUGAUUAUACCUUUAAUUUGAUUUUCUUUAUUUUCAUUGGCAUAGUAAUAUUAUAUUCUACUCGCUGACCAAUGAUCUAUUGGUCAUCCUCUCAUAUUAAUACACAACCCAAUAUUCAAUCUCACCCGUUUUUCUUUUCAGGUUUUUCUAUGUUUCUUAAUAUUUUGAAAAUUUUCUUGUUUGAUUUUGGGAUGUAUUAUAACUUUUUUCCUUGAUCAUUUAUUUUAUGGAGAGUGUUCUUUAUUUUCUUUGAUAUUAGCAUAGCAAAUAUUAUUAUACUCAGAGAUCGAUUUUUUUUCUUUUCAUUUUAAUUUUUUUCUUUUAUUGUGUAAUCAUUUUUUGUGCAUUUUCAUUCUACUCUAAUCUGUUUAAUUUCAUUCAUUGUUUUGAAUUUUUUUAAUUACAAAUUUUUUCUCCAUGGAUUACCUUUUCUUCACCCGUGUCAUAUAUAUAUAUGUAUUUUAUUCCAAAUAGAUGAAGUGAUCGGAGGUUGACUGCAACGGUAAUAUUUGGAUAUAAAAAAAAGCCACAAAUGACUUCUAUUUAGUAGGGUUUUCGUUAUUUUUUUCUCUUGAAUUUUAACAUAAUCAGGUUAGUUGUCUCUACUUUAGUUAUUUGCUUAUUUUUGUCGGUAUGGUUAUCAACAUCCUUUCCAACUCUUUCUCCGAUUAAUUUUUACUUUUUCUUCUUUAAUUAAGGUUGGAGCCAAAUUAUGGUGAACAAAUUAAGAACACAUGAUUAUGGUAGGAAACCUCUAAUUGUGAAUUGACAAGUGAACUUCUAAACCCUUUCCUUUGUUUAAUUAAUUAAAAUUUUAUUAGGAUUCUAACUAACAUCCAUUUUGGGUAUCUAUUUCAUAAGUCUUCCAUAUUCAAUAUGGGGUUUCCUUAUUAGGUUGUUCUCUAUUCAUUCUUCUUUUUAAAUAUUUUGAAAAUUUUCUUGUUUGAUUGCCGAAUAUAUUAUAACUUUUUUUUCCUUUAUCAUUUAUUAUAUGGAGAGUAUUCUUUGUAAAUUUUGAGUUUGUACUUUUUCUUCUUUUUUGUUCUUUGUCGUGCUAUGUCUCUUUAUCAGAUAUUUUUAACUUUAGUUCUUUUUCUUUUCUGGUCCUUUCUUGUGCUAUAUCUUCUUAUGAGACAUUUUAAAUUUAGAUUAUCUUUCAUUUUGCGGUUGUAAUUUUGUAUUAUUUGUUUAAGUUUUUUUUUUCUUUUUUGGUCCUUUGUUAUGCAAUGACAAAUGGGAUACUUUUAAUUUAGAUUUAUUAUUUUUAGCUUGCUUGCACUAUCAUUUGAUUGUUUUGAAAUUUUGAGUUUCUUUAUUUUUUCCUCGUUUUAUAUUAUGUGGAUUGUUUUGAAUUUCUUCUUUUGUUUUUUUUAUGUUAUGUGAUGUCCUUUUAAUUUAGAUUUAUUAUCUUUUAGUUUGCAUUUUUCAUUAUUAUGGAUUGUUUUAAAUUUUUUAUUUUCUUUAUUUUUUUGUUCAUUUGUUGUAGAAUGCAUUUUUAUGAGACAUUUUUAAUUUAGAUAUAAUCUUUUAGCUUGCAAAUUUUUAGAGAUUGUUUUGAAAUUUGGAGUUUGUUAUGACAUCUUUACUUUCAGUAUUUUUUGUUUUUUCUUUUCUUUCUUUUCUUUUGUUAGUUUAUGAUAUUUGUCUUGAUGGGACAAACGUGGAAUUUAUUUUCUUCUUCUCUAUGAUGACGUUCAAAUUCUUUUCACCCUCUCUUCGAAACUUUAUUGUAUCUAUUUAAUUAUUCAAAUCUUCCCUUCUUGUUUCUCUGUUUCAUGUUGUUUCGUUUUUUCUUAAUGUGAAAUUCUUUGAUUUAGUUCCAAUGUUACUGUGGGUUUAGAAUGGGUAGAUAACUUCUUUGAUUAUUGUGGUAAAGGCUUGAUUGUACUUUUGAUUUGAUUUUCUUUAUUUUCGUUAGCAUACUAAUAUUAUUCUACUCUCUAACCAACUAUUUAUUGGUCAUCCUCUCAGAUCAAGAUAGAAGCUUUCUUCCAAGACUCUAACUUCCAUUAAAGCUCCUUUGGAGAUACAAGCUUUCUUCCAAGGCUCCAACUUCAAGAAUAAAAACAUGUUCCACUUCCUCAAAAUCAAGUGUAAGCAUCCAGUUGAGAGAAAAUCAGAUGAUCAAAUUCUAGAGAUUGAAUGACAUCGCAUCAAAUCACAAAAAUACAACACCAACUCAAGUUCAACUCCACGAAUCAAAUUUCUCUAAAAAUCUCGUGCGAACAAAUUGGCACACCCAAUGGGACCAUCUCUACCUCUCAUCUCUCUCUUGUCAUCUAGAUCUACAAGCAAAUCAAUGGCAUCAAAGAAAGUUGCAUCCAAAUCUACAGUUGCAAGUGACACCUACACAGGAUCGGUCACCUGUAGUCGUUCUAAGGGGAUCGUUCAAGAGCAAGAUCAAGGUUUCGCCAUUGCGUAGAGCAUCCUUAAGCAAUUGAUGGAAUCUCCUAAAUCUGGAAUUGUCAUCAAGGAAAAUCCUCUAUAAUAAUGACUUUGAUUCCUACCUCUAGCUGGUAAAAGAAAAAAGCAUACUAUGAUGUGAUGUCUGUCAUGAUGGCUGAUAUAACGGUCGAGGUUGCCAUGGCGGAGAUAGAGAGAAAUUAAUAAAUCAGUCUUUUAGGAAUUGAACACCAUGACCACCACCAAAAUUGUAGAUGCUGAACAAAUAGGAAAAGAAGUCGAGGAAGAUGAAGAACUACAAAAAAUGAAAGCUAAUCUGAAGGAAGGUGUAGAAAAUGAAGGAAAAUACCAAUGGACUAAUAAUAAGUUGUUGUACAAAGGAAUGAUAGUAUUGUCCAAGGAUUCUGCAUACAUUCCAUGACUCUAUACUAGGAGGUCAUUCUGAAUUCUUGAGAACCUACAAAAGAAUCAGUGGGGAACUGUACUGGUAAGGAAUGAAGGUUGACGUAAAAAGAUACAUGGAGGAGUGUGACAUUUGUCAACAGAAUAAAUUUGAAGGGACCAUGCCCGCCAACGUGUUGCAACCAAUUCCCAUUCCACAUAGAAUACUGGAGGAUUGGACAAUGGAUUUCAUUGAAGGGUUACCUCUAGCGGGCGGAUUUAAUGUAAUUAUGGUUGUGGUAGACCGCUUGAGUAAGUACUCUUAUUUCAUAAUGUUGAAACCCCCUUAUAUAGCUAAACAAGUGGCGGGCCUCUUUCUGGAUAAAGUAGUAAGCAAGAACGGAAUCCCUAAGUCCAUCAUUACAGAUAGGGACAAGAUCUUCCUUAGCAAUUUCUGAAAAGAAUUAUUCGCUACCAUGGGAACACUCUUAAGGAGAAGCACUGCUUUUCACCCCCAAACGGAUGGGCAAACGAAGAGAGUAAAUAGAUGUCUUGAAACAUACUUAAGAUGUUUCUGCAACGAACAGCCAAAGAAGUGGGAUAAACUCAUUCCCUGGGCAGAGUUGUGGUACAAUACCACUUUUCAUGCGUCCACGAAAAUAAAUCAUUUCCAGACUGUGUCUGGCAGACCCCCUCCUCCAAUUUUAUCUUAUAGUAUGAAGAAAUCCCCUAAUAAUGAGGUUGAAAAAAUGUUGAAGGAAAGGGAUUUAGCCCUCAAUGCCCUAAAGGAGAACUUAUAUUCUACUCAAAACAGAAUGAAGAAGAUGACAGACCAGAAUAGAAGAGAGUUGAAUUUUCAAGUUGGGGAUGAAGUAUUCUUGAAAUAAAAGACCUUACAGACAACGUUCUUUGGUGCAAAAGAAGUGUGAGAAGCCAGCACCCAAGUUUUAUGGUUCUUACCCUCUGAUUGAGAAGAUUGGAGAGGUAGCUUAUAGAUUGUUAUUACCCCUAAAGCUAUUAUUCAUAUGUGUUUCAUAUAUCUUAGUUAAAAUUGAAGCUAGGGAAACACCAAGGAGUUCAGCAUCAACAACCGAUAUUAACAGAAGACUUCGAAUUGCAGUUAUGGCCAGAAAUAGUGUUGGGAGUACGAUGGAACCGGGAGUUAGGCGGAAAUGAGUGGUUAAUUAAAUGGAAGGAGUUGUCCGAAAGUGAAGCCACUUGGGAAUCAGUCUACCAAAUGAACCAACAGUUCUCUAAUUUUCACCUUGAGGACAAGGUGAACUUGGAACCGAGGGGUAUUGUAAGGCAUCCAAUUGUCCACACGUAUAAAAGAAAGGGUAAAAGAGUAAAUACACAACUGGCUAAUAAUGAGGGAAUGAUAGAAAAAGAUAGUGCCAGUAGGGCCCAUGCGGAGGAAUGAGAGAAUGUUGUAUAAAUAGGUAUUUUUCGGGAUUGGGUAGCUAGGUCUAUUUUUGUUCUUCUGUAAAAGUCGGAUGUUGUAGCCUGGGAAAGAUAUUUUCUGUGUUUUUCUUUUGUUAUCUUGAGUAUCGUGUCUUCUGUAAUCGUUUUAACCUAUAUAUAAAUAAAGUUUAGCAGAGUAUUGUCUCUAUUUUUCGAUUUUGGUGUGAAAAUGUUAUUAUUUUAUAAGUAGAAUCUUUACCGUUUCACUUGUUUUCUCAAUCCAUAUAAAAUUGACAUCUAAUACUCAUAAUAUAUACAUAAGAGAAUUACUACAUUCUUACAAAUUUAAAAAAUAACAAAAUUAUUACCAAUGAAAAGUAAGUUGAAUGAACUACAUUAUUAUUUUAAUAUCAGUCUAUACACCAAAACUGCCUUCUUUUUUUUUUACCAUUUUUUAUAUAUUUAUAAAUCCUAAAUUGCACACAAAGAACAAAAGAAAAAAAAAACUAAACGUGAUAUAUAUAUAUAUAUAUAUAUAUAUAAUAUUUGAAACACUAGGUUAUAUUGACAUGAUAGAAUAACAUAUGUUUAUACAUAUCAUUUGUUCCCUUGGGUGGAUCGAUAUUUAUACUUAAGGGCCCAAAAAAGGUAGUGCAAGAAAUUGAGGCCACUAAGAACACACAUAACCCAAUAGAAGUUAGAAAGACGGUAGUGAUUAAUGUUGUGUCCAGACAGCCAAGGCCUAUGCCAAGCUUUGGCACUCACAUGGUUCACAACCGAUACAAUGACCGAACUUAAAUAAUACCCAACAGCCAACGAAGCCCAUGAAAGAGCCGUAGCCAAAGACCUCAUAGUAGUCGGAGCCUCCGUGAAGAAAAACUCCAACAAACCCGCCAACGUAAACAAAUCUGCCGACCCCAAAAACAAGUACUGGAAUGCAAUCCAAAGGAACGUAAUGGGAAGCGGGCCGUGCACAUCCGGGUUGGCAUCAGCCACGGCCUUACGUUUGGUCUCGACGAGUGCAGCGACAGCCAUGGCAAGGACAGAGAGGAGGAGGCCGACACCAAUGCGUUGGAGGUGGGUGAUGCCGGCUUCAGUGCGAGUGAGGGAUCGAGCGAAGGGGAUGAUGAGAUGGUCGUAGAGAGGGGCGAGGAUGAUGAUGAAUAGGACAGGGAAGACUGGGAGGGAGGCUGGGGGGAUUUUGAGGGAGUAGAUUUUGGUGUUCAUUGUGGCGGCUUGUUCUAUGGAGAAAGUGGAGAGUUGAGCUAAGCAUGAGUUGAGUAUUAUGGUGCAUGCAAAGAUUGGGAGGACUUUUAUGACUAUUUUAACGUCUUCAAGUUGUUGGGUUGUGCAUUUUAGUGAUGGGUGGAAAGGUGGGUUUUGUACUGCUUUGUUUAGGAAUUUGAGGCUUUGAGUUGGAGUAGUUACAUUGUUUUCUGUUAGGUCUUUAUUGAUUAAUUGCUUUGGGGUUGAUGUAGUUGAUGGGCUUCUUGCAAGGCUUGCCACUGCGUUUGUUGCUGGUUUUUUGUUGCUCCUACGGUUCAAUGUUGCUGCUACUAGUACCUAAUUAUAUCAUCAUUCAUAUAAUUAUAUUAAAUGCGUUAUACUAAUCUUGGGCCGAUUGUAAAUAAGUCUCAAACCAUUAACAAAUAUAAUAUAGUGUAAUGUUAAAGAAUUUGCAAAUAAGUAAAGUUUAGAUUCUUACUCUUCUAGAGUCUAUCCGUAAUAAACUACAUUGCUGGUAAUAUGAGUUUAUUAUUGUCGAUAUAGUUUUUUUAUUAAUAGCAGUACUGUAUUAGCAAUAGAUUCUAUUACUGAUCAAUUUUGCUAUGUUUUCGAAUGCUUUAAAAUUGUUAUUAUAUAAAACUCAUUUUUAGCCAUAGAAUUGUUAUCCAUAUUGCAAUUAUCCUAUAAAAAAAAUGUUUCGGUACAACUCGAGUUGUAUCUAUCUUUCUACGCUAUCCUCUCUAAUACUCAAUCAUUGAUGGCACAUAGCAAACUUUUCUUAAAAGAAACAUAUUUUAAUACUUCCAAAAAUAUAAAUAUAUAUAUAUAUAUAUUUUUCUUUUCUCGAUCGAGUGGAUGCAUGAGGAUAUUAAACUUUAGGCUACACUCAAAAAAAGCAAAUACUUUGAUGUAAUCUAGUCUACACUCAUCUUCUUUGCAUUUUCUUUUAAUUAUAAAGUAAAAAUAAUAUAAAAAUAUAUGUUUUUUUAAAAAAAGUGUUAGCCACUCAUGUGAUGAUAUUUUGCUAUAUUUAAUUAUACACGGGAAUGAAAUGCAUAAAAGUAAAUGCAUGUUAGUGGUAAGCGUAGAAAAAUACCUUGAGAAUGGUGGUAAGGGGACUACCGGUGGGGAUUUUGUUACGAUAAAAAGGAGAACCAGCAAAGAACAAAGGAAUGGAUAGAAAAAUGCUGAUAGUUGAGAUUCCAAAACCCCAUUGCCACCCCAAGUUGUCUUCAAUCCAAACCACGAAUGUCACUGCAAUAAGGGCUCCACAUGACAGACUAAACACAAAGUAGUUGAAGAAACUAGACCUCCUCUUCCUCCCUUGUGGGGUGCUUUCGUCGAACUGCUCUGCCCCGUGCGCCGGCAGUGACCCCUUUAUUCCACCGACGCCCAACGCCACCAAGUACAGCCCUAUGAACAGCACCGCCAUCUCUUUCCCCCCUACUUCCUUGCACCCCUUUGAGCUCCCCUCCUCGCAUGAUGAACUCACCUUUGCUUGCACUGUCAGCAUCACUAACCCCUAUUCCAUGUGUAUAUUAGCACCAAUCAGCAUGGUUACAAAAUCAACAAACAAGAAAAAUAAAAAAUCAAACACAUAGAAAUAUUUGAUUUGUUAACCAGCGUAUCAGUUACUUCCGUGAGAUAAAGGAAGAACAAUUUUAUUUGAUAAAAUGUUACAAAAUACUUCGUGUCACUAGGGUUAGAGAAUUUAUAUAAUGCAUUUCUCUAAACUUCAUAUUUGUUCAUUCAAACAACCAUGUAACAUAUUCAAAGUAUUUUAACAAGCAUACACACACUAAGAUAUUAUUUUUAAAGAAUCUCAACUACAUCGACCCAUCUAUAUUAUCAUGGUUACGUUGUAUUCCACUGUCAAUUCAUUAACAGUAAUAGGAGCACAAAAAAACAAAAACAAGCAGACAGAAAGUAGAUGAAAAGACAAUGAUGUAUUACAUAAAAAGCAACUAAAUUAAGGGGAAAAAAUAGUGGUUGGAGUGUAGUUCUGUAAAGAGUUUUGAUGGAUGAGAAAGAAAGUCAUGAAAAUAAAUAAAAUCACUUUGAAAACUGUCAAACUAUAUUAUCAAGUUACUUUGAAAAUUCUCUACAAAACGAUGCAAUUAGAUGUAGAUGUAUAAUCUGAAUAUAUGCUCCGAGUCUUUCCAUUUUUGAGAAUUUUGUUAUCUCAUACGAGAGUAACCCCUCAUAUAUUAUUCCACAUUUUGUUAUCUAAUAUGUUUAUCUGUCCUAUUAAUUAAGUUUUGAAUUUUGUUUCAAUUUUUAUUUUUAACUAGGUUUUAAGAUUUACACGUUUACCUCAUUUUCAAUAUUAAAUAUUCACUUUCAACUAUUAGAGUUAAUAUAUAUUAAUUGAUUUAAAAUAAUUAAGAAGUGAAAAUAUCCUUUAAUUUUGACCAUGAUGAAAAAGUUUUCACUUUCAACUAUUAGAGUUAAUAUAUAUUAAUUGAUUUAAAAUAAUUAAGAAGUGAAAAUAUCCUUUAAUUUUGACCAUGAUGAAAAAGUUGAAACUUAAUCUAUUAUAAUUCUUUUAAACUAAUUAAUAGGCAUUAACACUCAACAAACAACAAAGUUAAAAGUGUAAAAUUUGAAACAUGUUAAAAUUAUAACUUUCUUAAAUCCUAAUAAAUUGAAACCUAGACUCAAAAUAAAAGAUAAAAAGAGAUUAUUCUUUAUUUUUAGAGCAAUAAUUAGGUGUAAUUCAUACUGCAUCUAUUCUCAACGUUCCUCCCCUUUACACACAAGUAAAAAAAAUCAUUCUAUAACAAAGAAAAAAAAAGUCCAAUAACAUAUUUGUAUUGGAUGUUAGCGAGACUGUAUGGACUUGAGUUUAUUAUUAUUAUUAUUUUGAUGGGUGGGAGAAAAAAGAGGUUGAUGGGAAGGGAUGUAAAAGAGAGAAGAGAUAUGUAGGGUUGUGGUAGUCGUCUAGUUGCAAUGAAAAGGAAAAGAGAAAAAGAAAUGGAAAAGGACAAGUUGAGGAAGGAAGAAGUUGGUUUAGUGGAGGUGGUGAAAACCAGAUCAAAAGAAAAAAAGCUUUAUUUGGUUUGACGCAAACGGAUGAGUUCCAAGGUCGUAACACACACUUUCAUCACUCAUCCAUUCUCACUAUUAACUUCUUUUUAAAAGGUAUAAUUUAAUUUUUUUUAAAGAUGUUUAAAGCUAUAUGAAAACAUGAAUUUGCUUUUUUACUUUUUAUCAACUCAAUAAAUAAUAUACUUUUCAUACUGGUGUAUAAGUUUCUUUUUUUAACUUAUAUUUACCAAUAAUUUUCUAUUUGUGUAUAUAUUUGACAAUAAGACUUUAUUCUCAUUAUUCCCAAAUUACAAUCUUAGAAUCUUAGACAUAUGUCAAGAUUUAUAGUAUUAUCUUUUUCUCUCAUUCAACUUGAUCAACUUGUUGAGUAGGAAUUUAGUAGAAAAUUCUUUAAAGUUACCAACUUUUGAAUGUGUGUUUGAGUUAGCUUUGGAAUAUAAAAAAAGAAAAAAAAAACAAAAUUAAUUAAGUUUUUUCUUUAACACUUAAGUUUGACAAAGAUACCAAUAUUGUUUUUCUUGGUGUGUAUGACGUAAAAUAUAUGUAUAUAUCUUGACCAUAGCCUCCAUACUAUUACUAACUUUAAUAUGAUAUUAAUAAAAUACUAUAUAUAUAUAUGUAUUUUGUUUUUGGGAUUUGUGUCAUUAUCUUCGGGGGGAAAAACGGAUGCCUACGUUGUUUUUUUGGUUGUGGGACAUUUUGCCCUUCUUUUCAUUUCAUUUUUUUCAACUCAAUAUAACAAAACUAAGAAAGAAGAAAUUGAUUGGAGAUAAAUGGAAGAAAAAAAAAACCCAUCUUGUUUAGACCCCCACGUAACCCUUUUAUUGUUUGUUAUUGCUUUUUGAAAAUUAAGCCUUAAAAUAUUAUUUCAUCUUUCUUCCUCUUUUCAAAUAUAAAAACUGAAAAUAGUUACUAAAUUUGGUUUUAAGUCUUUAAUUUUUUUAAAGUAAAUCUAUUUACAAAAAUUUAAUUCUUACCUAAGUUUUAAGAAAACAGAUUUACAAUAAUAAAAAAGUACUUAUAUGUACACUGUAAAAUUUGAUAGAUUUUGACAUGUAAAUUGAAAUAUUACUAAGAUCUUAACUUGAAUUUUCAAAACAAAAGAAAAUAAAUAAAUAAAGAACUUUGAAUAAGAAAACCGACUAUAAAAGUCCGAAAAUUUGGAAAUAAUAAAUACAAUUAUUCCAAAAAUCUUCAUGGCCGAUCACAUGGGUUCUCAUAAAUCAUGGCAGAGAAUAGAAUUUUAAAAUAAAAGAGAAGAAAAUAGGCCAAAGAAAGAAAAGAAAAAAAAGGCUUUCUUUUGUUUUUCUUUUAUUUUGGUUCUGAUCACCAUUUCUUCUAAAAAUAUAUUCAAGUUAAUACUAAAAGAUACAAGAAACAUAUUAAAACAUCAGUUUAAUUCCCUGUUAACAAUAACACACCUACGUUUGUUUGUUUUGAUUGGAAUCUCCUACCCAAUUCUCACCCAAUCGAUGUACUAAAGAGAAGAUAAUGUUUAGUUCUCUGUUUUAGCAUUUUUUUUAUAUGGAUUUUACAAUUUUAACCUACAUAAAAACACUACUAUUUUUACUAAAAUAGAGAUUAAAAAGAAGAAGAAGAAAAAAAACAUAAAGAGGAGUUAAAUAAGACGAACCAGAAACUCAAUGAAAGAGGAGAAAAUGAAGACGUAAUAAGUUGUGAAAAUGGCAUCCGAUAAGAAACCACCAAGAAGUGCAAGAAGAAACGCCGUUCCCAUAAACGUCGUGACAUGGUUGGCCGAUUUCGCCGGUGAAAAUCCCAUAUAUUUCCUCAAAUACAUCACCAAAUUACUUGCGUUUGCCAAGAACGCCAAAUUCUCCAACACUUCAACUCCUGCAAUAAUAGUUAAUUAAUACCAAAUUUAACUCUCAAUCAAAAUGUUUACUCAUUAUUAUCUAACAUGCAUGCAUGUAUGUAUGUAGUAUGUAUUCACCAACCUAAUACGAAUCCAGCCGCUAUCAUUCCCCCAUGCCGCCCUUUGGCUGCAGGCCUCUUCCGCCAAUCCACAUACCCUUCCCAUAUGCUCCCGUCGCUCUCCUCCUUCACGGCUUCCUACAUAUCCAACCAAUUUCAUUCAGUAAGAUACGUAUUAUUGAAAUUUUUAUGACCCUAGCUAUACAAUGACUUUCAUAAAGGAAUUUAGGGAUGAACAUACUUACCAUUUUUAUUGAAUUUUGAACACAAGUGUUAUGGGGUGGGUGAAUAAUUGGUAUAUUUAUAGAGUUAAAAAGAAAAUAUAUAUGAAGAGAGAGAGAGAGAGAAUAUUCUAAGGACGAGAGAGAAUGGUUUAAGGGAAAGAAACGCUCUUUCUCUUUUAAUAAAAAUCUCAAUUAUUCCUUUUAUUUUGAUACCGGACAAAAACAACUUUAACCAUAUAGGUUUUUUUUUUUGUCAAGCAUUUACACAAAUAAUUUUGACGUAAUUAUUAGUAUUUCUUUAUAUAUAUGUAUAAAAAAGUUAUAAUAUCUUAUUGUGUCAUAUAUGCUUUUAAUUUUUUUAUUUGAAAUUGUUAGAAUGACUCGAAUUUGUUCCUUUAUAUUAUGGUAACCAAGUACGGGUCUAAAUGUUUGAAUUAUUUUUAAAAAAAAAGAUACAAUUGGUCAGUUGGAUGCACUCGGACAUCUCCAUUGGUGGAUACCCCCUUAACAUCUGCAUCACUCAUGCUUCAUUAAUAGAUAAAGAACUUUGGGAUGCUAGUCCAUAAGCCCGUGAGAGCUCGAAUGUCAUCCCAAAUCUCAAUAAUUCUGCACUCCAAGUCUUUGAAGAUUCUCUUGUUCCUUUCAAGCCAAAUAACCUUUGAAUUACAUUCCUCAAUAUAUAAAUUUAACUGUAUGUGGGUAAGUUUGUAAUUAAGAAUCAUGCAAAAUUAAGAAGAGGAAGAGAUCAGCAUGCAUGAUUGGAGUCUUCAAUUUCAAAAUUAAGAUAUUGAGACGUUAUGGGAAAAGCUUGUUUUAAGGCAUAGAUAUGUGAUGGAUUGGAAGAGAGGAUUUGUUUUUAUAUAAAGGACUUAGCUGUUACUUGAAUUUUGUUAGAGGAGGAUGAUAUAUUGUUUGUGUACUUAAGAUUUAUUCAUGAACAAAAUGCUUUAAAAGGUAAUUUGUUGGAUUUGUUACAAUUCAUUAUUAUAUCAUUGAGUCUUCAUUUCCAAAGAAUCAUGGAUUCAAGUUUAAUGUAUCUCUUAACUCUCAUGCAUGCAAUUCUUUUUCAUUGCAUUUAAAGAUUAUUUUCACAUAGAGUAAGAAACAUAUAUAUCAAAUUAAGUAGAACUAUUAUAAUUGGUGCGUAGUUAUUUAUUUGAAAGUUAAUGCUUUUCUUUACAUGGGUGUCCACAUCCUUCAUUAUUCUUGUGUAAUUUCAGGGUUUGAGAGAGAAAAAAAAUAAAGAAAAGUAAAAUAUUAAAAAUAAAUACUAGUUAGAUUUUUUUAUAUUAUUAGAACCGUAUAUAAAAUUUAUUGAGAUAUUUCAACUAAGUUCACACAUCCUUUAUCAUAUUUCAAAGCUAAAUGUGAUGCAUUAUUAAUCAAAAUAAACUAUACAAACGGGUCGGUGGAAAAAAGAACUACAAAUGAGAAGAGGUAAGAAAAAGAUCUUCCAAUUAAGCAAUAUAAUAGAAGCAGUUGUAAUCACAAAAAUGGGAGAAUAGACAACACCAUAGGUACGACUACAUGAAGAAAAUGAUAUCUUAAUUAAUAAAAAGUAUAUGAUAUAACUCAAAUAUAUUCAAAUAUAAAGGACAAUGGAAUUACAAAAUUUAGCUUAGUGCCCUUAAUUACAAUCUAAUCCCUAAUUGUGUUCUUCCUACAAAUUAUUGCUUACCUUUCUCCUUCCACAAGACCACAAUUACUAUUUCUUAAUCAAACUUUUUUUUUUGCAAGGGUGUGUUCAAUAAUUAAUGCGGACCACUUUUUUUUUUUGUAAAGAUAUUAUAAUAAAUGUUGAAGUGAGGAUUUGAAUCCGAAACCUGUUGUCCACGGGAACAUACAGAUGUCAGUUGAGCUAAGCUCAUAUUGACAAGAGACCACUUAUUUAAUAAGUAGAUGGAACCAAAGUUGAAAUUAAAGGAUGUUAUUAAUUGAUUUGUUGGAGAUGAAGUUCAAAUAAAAGGAAAGUUACAAUUGAUGAUUUAGAAAUUAGUUAUUAUUUUAUUUUUAUCAAUUAAUGUUUUUGGAUUCUUUUGCAUGUGUUGUUGACUAUAAAAGGGGCUUGAGUAUUGAAUGCAAAGUUAAGGUAAGUGAUUGCUUCAUCAUGCAAAUGCAUAUAAUAUAAAUUUAUGUACAUAAAUAUGUGAGAGAUAAAACUUUAUGUCCUCACCAUAUACAUUAUAUUUGGGAUGUAUGUAUUUAUUUCUCUGUUUCCUUUAUUCAGUAAAACAACCUCAGCAUUUAUAACAAAUUGGAGCUAAUUCUUUUAUAUUUAAUUUCACUCCCAAUUGAGGUCUCGACUUCUCCACUUUCACUCCCUCCAACUUAACUUUAUUAAAACCCCAAAAAUUUAUCAAAAUAAAUAAUAAUAUUUAUUAUUAUUUAUUUAAAUUGGUUUUUUCCUUCUAAAAAUUCGUAAAAAUAUUUACAAUACAAAAAAAAAAGUGCACAUUCAUUCAUAUUGAUGUUUCAAUCUAGAAUUGAUAUUACAGUUUCUUAAAUAUUCUAAAAGGUAUUAGUAUUAGUAUAAGCUUUUACACGUGAAUUAGAAUUUUGAAAAGCAUAUAUUCAUAGAUUAACUAAUAAUCAAUUUGAUUAACAAACUUAUAAAGGCAGUUUAAGAUUAUUUUAAUUCUAAUUAAAUCAUUUUUUAAUUCUCCUGUCCUGAAAAGAUUGUUGGGAAUUUUUUCUCUCUUUCUCUCAUAAUUUAACCUUAUACAAAGUCCCUAGACUAAAUGGAGAAUUCUUGUGUCAGAAGUAAUUCCCCAACAAUGUGACAAUUAUGUGCAUGCAUAGAGUACAUUAGUGUCAAAUAUGAAACUUACCCAACUAUCAAAGACACAAUGUGAGAUCUGCUCCAAAGGAGAUAAAAGAAACUACAACUUGCAAAUGGUUGCUUUGCUCCAUCACAAUCGCUAAGAGUUCAAAAACGCCAACAUCAUAAUAACUUACGUUGUCAAAGCCUACAAGCUAGAGCGUUAGCUUUAUAAAGGAUAUGAUUCAUCAUAUAAUUGAGUCAAGAAGCCUCUAAAAAAAAGACCGUAGAUCCAAACUUGUUUGAAUACAUAUAUCUUAUAUGUAUAUAAUAUAUAUGUAUUUGCGUUACACACAUUGAAUGAACACGGUGCAUUGAUUGAUUCAUCUCUACUGUCUUCAUAAUAGAGUACAAUAAAUGUCAUUUAGAUAUACCUGUUUAGGAUGGAGGUGAUUACCCACAUUAAAUUGAUAGGGUGCAUUGAUUCUUCCUCUGUACAUAAGAGAUGCAUGGUAAAUUAUAUAAUUUGAUGCGAUCCAAAGUUUAGAGUAAAUACAGUAAAAAAAAUUAAUAGAAGGAAAUAUAUAUAAUAGCAUCAGAAUAGAAAUGAUUGUAUGAUGUAAAAAUAUAAUUAGAACCAGAAGAUCUAACGUAUUCUAUAACUAAGUUUAUUAAGGAACUCAUCCUUUUAUAAAGAUUGCAAUUUUGAUUUUUGGUCUUCUUACUUUUAUAUACUUACGUUUAAUUUCUUUCAAAUUUCUAAUUAAAUAUUUAAAUUAUUUGUAAAAAUCUAAAAAAAAAAAUAGUUUUUUUCUACAUUUUUCUUUUCUGAUUAUGUUUUUUAAAAAAAUAUACAUGGAUAACUAAAAAAUGAAAUAGUAUUUAUAAACUUAAAAAUAAAAUAUAUAUAUACUUACAAAAUUUGAUCAUAAGUAGUUCUAAAUAAUAUAAUGACCAACUUAAUAUGUGAUAAUAAGGCAUGUCUUAUUUAACACUUUUCUUACAAAGUGAUAAUUAAGAUCAAACAUGAACCAUUAGGAGGAAAGUUAAAAAGUAUUUUUAACAAUUUCAAAAUUAGAUUCAUAUGCAAAGAAGUAAUAAAAUUAGGUUAAAGCUAAAGUUUUAAAGUGAAUUGAAUAAAAAGAUUUUAUUUAAUUUUUUAUUAUUUGAGCUCACAAAAUUUAAUUAUUUUAAGUUUUCCUUGUUAUAAGUAUAUAUACCGUUUAAAUUAUAAAUUUUUACGUACAGAUUAGAGGGAAUAUUUGAAGUAGGUGAAUAUAUUAAAAUAAGUUAUGUUUUAAUUUAUAUAGUACAAAUUUAAUGUUAAUGUUAAUUGAAUGAUACUGCUAUAUAUAGUUGAAUAAAAUCAACAAAAAUUGGUGUAAAAUGAGGAAUAAUGUAAUACUAUAUAUAUUCCACCACUGGGCAAAUUGAUCGGGAUAUAAUUUGUUUUUUCCUUUUUCUUUUUUACAAGUUUGUUAAAUUCAAAGCAUAUUUCAAGUUUCAACUUCAAUCUUUUUUGUCCUUUUGGUAGAUUUCCACUUAUUUAUCCAAUUUUCAUUUAUGAUUUCUAUAUUCACAAUCACCAAGUGGCUAAUGGUUCCCAUUUUUCUUUAAUUAAUUUGAUGUUGGCUGAGUAUAUAUCUCUAUUAUCUAUGAAGAUCAAGUAAAAGGUUAACAUCCUCCUAGUAUUUGAUUGUGCUUUAGACAAAAAAGGAAAAAGAAAAAAGAAGCCACCAACAAAAAUGGGCGGCUUUAUUAAGUGGUUAGGGGCACGUGUCUCUCCUCACAUUAUCCGUUUUUGUAUUUUAAUAUUGAUUUUGAAGUGUUAGAUUGUCAUAUAUAUUAAAUUUAGCUUUAUUAUGCCUAAAUUCUGCUUUUGCUGUAGUGAUUGUGCCCUUGCACAACCAUGUGGUUAUGAGUUCAAGUCUAGUCAUCUGUAACUAUUAUUACUAUUUCCUAACUCUCAUUUCUUAUCUAACAAAUGUAGUGAAUGUUAUUGGAGCAUCAGUGAAACGUUAAGAUAUUUUUUUAACAUUUCUUAGUGUGUUUUAUUAUAUAGUAUUUGAUGUCUCUCUAAAUAAAAUUUUUGAAUCCGCCACUGGAAACGAGUAAUAAAUGGACACAAAGAAUAAUUACGAGAGAAUGUCAAACAUUAAAGCUAUAGUGGAAUGGGCAGAAUAUUUCACAUUUUGAGAGAUCUGAUAAAUAAUGUGUAAUAAAAACAACAUUUCCAACACGAUACUAAAUGUAUCGUCAAUAUGGAUCCCAAUUUUAGCUAAAGAAACCUAAAAAAGAUCACUGACUUCAAUAAGUGAACACCCCUUAGCAUUCCCAUCAUACCCACUUCAUUAAUAUAAUAAGAGUUAAGUACAUAUCAGAAGCGAGGGAAAGCACACACAAAAAAAAAGCUAAAGAUAAGCCCCUAUACAAACAGCGAAUAUCAAAGAUUAAACAAACGUAGGAAGAUUUAAGACAAUAAUGCUUGGGCCAUAGUUGACAAAAAAGGAGGAUCUACUGGUCCAGUAUCCCGUGAGAGCACGUAUGUCUUUCGAGAGCUCGAUGAUUAAUUUUUCAUGGUCUUUGAAAAAUCUACUAUUUCCUUCCAGCCAUGUAGACCAUUAGGACAAAUGAAAUUGUAUUGGAUGAUGGUGCAUUUUCCAUUCUUUGUUUGAUGGAACAUAUAGUAGAGUACAGAGCUAUCAUAAUCUUCUGACGAUUAUUCUACCAGUUCAUGAAAUAAAGAUUCUCACCUUUUUUCCAAAGAUUAUAGGUUGUAUAACUGGAGACGAACAAUGAGAUUAAUAUUCUGAGAGUGAGCUUACAAAAAGUGCACCAAUUUGGGUUAAGAUGUGUAUUUGGGAGUUUUCUUUGUAACAUGUCCGCUGUCUUAAUGCAUCUAUGAAUGUGUGACCAAAUAAAGAAUCUGCAGUUUUUUGGGAUGCUUGAUUGGAGGAUCACAUAUUAAUGAAUCCAUCAAUGGAAGAGUUGUUACCAGCCCCACUCUAGAUCAAUUGCACAUAAGCCCACCUAAAUUGCUUCAACUUACAAAAGUUGACACUCCAACUCCUCUGGAUAAAUUUACAACCACCAAAUUAAAGCUCAUCUUGCCACCCCAUCACAAUUUCCCUAACCAAGCCAUAUCAAUAUUUAACUUCCAUUGCCCUUAGAUAGGAGAGGGCACAUGUGGAGCUACAUAUGGCAUCUGCUUGAAACAACCACAAGGGUCAAGCCACGCCAUCUAGCAGGGAAGAUAUCUUGAUCAUGGGAGAAACAAUGUGUCGAGAACACUCGUACCUAAAGCAGACCUCUUGUUUCAAAAACUUCACAAGCUCCAAAAAUAAUCCAUGCACAAUCCAUAUCCUCUCCACAGCAUGCACCUCUUAAGCAAUUCCAACACAAUGAAUAAUAAUAGGCGUCCCAUAUACUCUUGUCAACACCAAACCAACUCAUAUACUCUUGUCAACACCAAACCAACUAAUUAAUCAGAUUUAUAUCUUUUAAUCUUUCUGCAACCCAAUGGGGGAUAGCAAAGGAUGUCAAUUGCAUCUUGGAGAAGAAACAACUUCCUAGUCAAAUUUAAAUUUCAUAUACGCUAUCAAAUAGGAUCACAUGUGAUUGAAAUAUUAACACUACUACCCACAACAUAACUAUUCUUUUUUAUCUCUCCCACACAUAAUACUUUUACAUGCAUAUGUUGGAAUGAUUGUGACCCAACUUUCCCAGCAUAAGGAAAACUAAGUUUUAUAAUUUCUAGGUCUUCUCUAUAUGUGUAUAAUCUUUUAUUUUAUUUUUUAAAAACAAGUUUAUUUUGGGUUUUUACUUAAAUACUAUUUCUAGGUUCUUUAUUAAUGUUAAGAAAUAAAAUAGAAUAAUAAUGAUGUAUGAAAUAAUUCAUGCUUUCACUUGUAACAACAAGAUAUAAUAUUCAAUUUAGUGUCGCAUAUCAUUAAUUAAAAUUGUCGUCGCGUCUAGAGUAUCUGACACUAGAUUUUAUUUCUUUAAUAUAUAAUGACAAUUUAGUGCCUCUAAAAGGAUAGAUAAUAAAUUACCGACAAAUAUUAAGAAAUGUUCUGUUUAAUGAUUAACCAUAACUAUCCAAAAACUAUUUGAGUAAAUAUUAUAUAUGAGUUUUUGAAAGGAGAUCGUUAAUAAUCGAGUUUUUAAAAAGUGUCAAAAGUUAUUACAUGUAUCAUAAUUAUAUUUUAUUUGUCAUUAUUGGAUGUGUCAUUGUUAUAGAAUCCUAUACAUUUCAUUUUGAUUCAUCUAUCUUAUAAAGAGUUCAAGAGUCUCCUUGGUUUUUAUAGUGUAACAUGCUCUUUUAUGAUAUAUGAUGCCUCUUUUGAGUUCACUAGUAUUAAUUAUUGAAUCUCAAUUUCUUUUUAUUGAAUUGAAUAUUCAUUUGAGUUUUAUAGGCUCUAAUACCGUAUUUAAUAAUAUGGGGUUUCAUUUCAAAAUCAAUUGGCAAUGAGAGAAGCACACAUCUAUCUUAUAAAGAGUUUGAGUCUCCUUGAUUUUUAUUCAAUACGAAAUUAAUUUUCAAUAAUUAGACAUGUAAUAAUUAUAAUGAAAAGAUCAAGAUUCUCUCUACACUUGUCCAAGGUUUAUUGAAACUCACAAUCCAAUAAUAUUUAAUGAUCUAAUCUCUUAUAUAUAAAUUGUUUGUGCGAGACACAUCACACUCACAUAUCUUCACAUAAAUGAUUUGAAUCAAAUUAUUUGUAACAAUAGCAAAAUAAGUCAUAUUCAUGUUGAGUAAGAAAUGUUAAGAGAUACAAAAAGUCUUGCUCAUAUAUGUACAGUAAUAAAGCAUUUAGAUUGUUUUCUUAAACAUGAUCAUCAAGUUAAUAUUGCAUACUUGUUUGACAUGUACAUAUUAAUAACUAAAUAAAAAUUAAAUAAUUUCAUUAAUUACAAGAUUUUAGGGUUAGAAAUUAUUGGAACGUAUGUUUAAUAGAUAAAAACUUUGACAAAGUCGUUUACAAAAAAAGAUAUAUUUGAUUGAUGAUUACUUUGAAACUGAUGUUGGGACUUGGAGGUGUAAUUUUAGAUAGUAUUAUAGUGUGUGGUUUCCAUAGAGAUGAAGAGGAAUUAGAUGCCACAGAUUUUGUAUUAAAAAAGUUAGAAUUUAAUUAGGUGGACCUUAAUUGAAUAAGAAUUAAUUGAUAGGGUAAAUAUGAAAAUUAGGGUUGAAUUGAUUAGGUACGGAUGUGGUUAUAGUACAAAACUGGUAAUUUGAGCUGAUUAGUAAUCAUAAUUGAGAAAUGAAUUAGAUCCGUUAGGAAUGGAUGGAGUAAAUUAUGUGAGGAGUGGAGGGAGGUAAAAGUGGGCAUAGAUAGAUAGAUAGAUGUGAUGGGAGAAAGGGAGGGAUCGGAAUGGUGCGAACUGGGAGGUGCAUCAAAAAGUCUUGUCGUGGUGAUAGGAGGGAGGUUGGAUUUGAAAGUUGGAGGGGGAGGGGGAGGAAAAGGAAUGAGGGGGUAGCCAAAGGAACACCAUCCAGCAUGUAGAGAAGAGAAUUUUAAAGAGGAUUGUAAUUGAUGAUGCAUGAUGAUGGUACCCCUUCUGUUUUUGUGUUUUUUCUUUACCCCGCCGUACCCCCUUAUUUUCUGCAUCCAUUGAUAUUGCCUCCCCUCACGUAUUCCGACCCCACUCCCUCCCCUACACUUACACUUACGCUACGCUACCUCUUCGUGCAAAUGCCCACCCCACAUACCCUUUCUUUUUUUAUUAUAUACAUAUAUACAUAUAUAAUGAAAUUGACUCAUUCAUUCUCACAUAUUUUGUACCCUUCAACCUUUGUGUUUAUGUUAAUUUCAUGUUGCUUCAUUCACUAAUAUGUUUGUAUCGAUUUCUAUAAAGAACUUAAGUCAUCAACUAUUUAUAUCUCUCUAGUUCAUUUGAAGUGUAAAAUUCUAAGUCGAAUCAUAAUUUCAGAAAUAAUAUUUAAGGAUAUGGCAAUAUUUAAAAAAAUUACAAAUAUAGCAAAAUUAUCGCUAAUAAACUUGUAUCGCUGAUAGAUUUGUAUGAUUUAUCAAUGAUAGACCAUGUUGUAAAUAUUGGUCUAUCGGUGAUAGACUUCUAUCAUCGAUAUAAUUCGAUAAAUUUUGCUAUAUUUGUAAUUUUUCUAAAUGAUCUUAUAUACUUAAUUAUUUUAUAUUUAAUGACUAAAUUUAUAACUAUCCCUUUUUUUAUUUAUAGAGUUUUUUUUUUUUUGGUGAGUUUUGUAGGGUUUGGACUUACUUGGUCCAUGGGUAUGCCUUUUGGGCCCAAUAAUUGGAUUGGAUCUUGAGUUCGGGUGGUUGGCCUUAAUUUGGGUCAAAUGAACUUCACAUUAAAUAUUAAUAUGAAAUAAAUUAUUUUAUUUAAUUAAAUAGUCAAGAUCAAAAUACUUGCCCUCGUUAGAAUUAGUCAAUUUAUGUGUUUAAUUUAAAGUUGAAAUAUAUCUUAACCUUUAAUAUUGGUCUCAAAUAUGAUGAUUUGUAAUUUUAUUAUUAAUUUGAGAAAUGACGUUUUAAUUUUUUAUUGAUUCAAAAAAUUUCAUUUGGAUACAUGGUAAAUGAAACCUAGAUGGUCUAAUUAUUUUCUGUCUUAAAAAUCGUACGGUGUAAUUUUUAUUGAACAUGUGAAAAAAUAGUAUUUGUCAACUUCAAGUACGCUACAAUAACUACCAUGCGUGCUAAAAAAUUGAACAACCAAAGUAAGUUUGUGUGUAAUUGAAUUGUUUAACAAACAUAGGUUUUCUUAAAAAGAAACGCAAUCAAAAUUUAAUUUACAAAUUCAAAUAUAUAUAAUUUUUCAAGUCAAUUCAAUUCAUCACAACAUAUGAACACACGAAGGAACGCAUAUAUAUAUUAACCUCACGUACAUUUUAGUUUAAUUACAAAUAAUUGUUGGACUCAAAAUUUGGAUGAGUAUAAAAAUUUCUAUUUCAUCCACGACUAUUUUCUUAAAAUAACUUUUUUCUUCUCCCACUUUUUAACUAAUUAUAUUAAUUAAAGGAAGAUGUAAGUGACGUUGUUCGUUUGUAGUAAAAAUAUAUUUAUAUUAAUACCACUUGUGUAGUCAACAAAUGUUGAGAUGGCCGAGUUGGUCUAAGGCGCCAGAUUAAGGUUCUGGUCCGAAAGGGCGUGGGUUCAAAUCCCACUCUCAACAUUCAUUUUAUUUAAUUUUAGCUCUUCCCCCUCCUAAAUGGAACAACCAAGCAAACUUAUUAUCUAUGUAUAUUAUUUUUAAUUAAUGGAAGUCAAAUAUCCCAAUAAAAAUUGUUCACUCACUCCAACAAUUCAUAUUUUCAUUGAAGUUAAACACUGGGUUGAUCUUGUCAAGGUCAGCUUCCCUUGAAGUUCGUUUUUGUUCUUGUAUGGAACAUAUAUUUGGAGUUGCUAAUAACAACAUAUUUAUAAAUAUUAGAAUCAUUAUUAUAUUAUUGGAAUUCAAAAGCUUUUCUUUAGCAUUCGAAAUGGUACUUCCAAAUUUAGCUUUAAGCUUUUAGAGUUUGUCUUUGUGACAAUACUACAAUAUAUUUAUCGGUGACAAUGUACUCUUACUCUUUGAUGAUGGAGAUUUGAAGUUUGUUAAAUCAUGAUUACUAUUUGAUUUCUUUAUUUGGUGAAUGGUAUAUAAUUUUACAGCCGUUCUAACUUCCAUUAAAAGAACUUUGAAUUUUGAAGCAAAAUAUAUAUAAUCCAUGAUUACUGUUGAUUGUGUAUUCAAACAAAAAUAUAAAGAUAAUUAAACUUAGGAAAAACUCACAAAGAAAUGAUUGGGAGGAGGUAUGGAACUGUGAAAGAAUCUUGAAAUUUAUGAUCUAAUAUACAUAUAUGUGUAGAAAUUUUUUAGCUCAAUUUUACCUUUUUCAUGCUUAGUUUUGCUUUAGUUUUAGUGACAAUUUUGUUAUUUAUAUAGAUUUAAUAUUUGUAUCAUUUUCAUUAUAACUUUUAAUGAGUGAAAAUGAUUUUUUUAACCUUUCUUGUAACUUUACUUUUGUUUUAAAAAACAAUUACUCAAAUUAAUUAUGUCAUUUAAAUUUAUCCAAAUUCAUUCAUAUUCUCCUCUCUCCCUUAAUUUUCUAUCUCUCAACUAUUCACAUUCUCUAUCUCUUUCAACCUUUCAAAUUCCUCCUUUCCAAAUCUUAUUAUAAAUAUCUUUUUUUUUUCAUUCAUAUUCACAAGUCACAACAAAAUGCUAGGAUGAGAAGAAAUCAAAUCAUGUUUUUCUAUUCUUUUCUUUUUAUCUAUAGUUUUGUAUAUAGAAGUAUGCUUGAACUACCAACUUUAUGGGUGACAUGUACAUGUGUAAAUCAUAUAAUAUUGAGAAUCUUUUCUAAAUGUAACCAUAAGAAUCUUGCUCAUGUUUUUUUCUUUAUUUAUUUUUUUAAAACUAUUUUAUUAAUGAAAUGGUUGGGUGACUUAUACUCUGAUUUUGUUAAAAUAAUGUAAAUAUUGUUGAAAUUUAUAGUAUGAAAAUUGGAGGCACUACCAUUGCGCCACAGAUCCAUUUGAUUAAUCAAAUGUUUAUACGCCAUUGAAAUAGACACAAUGAUACAUAUAAAUAUUGGUAAUAUAUAUUUUACCAAAGAAUACAAGAGAGGAGGGAUCAGCCACACUCAUAUAUAGUAUUAAUCAAUAAGAAAUUUAAUACACAAUAAUUUAUUUGUACUCAUUCCCUUUGAUACUCCAUCGCCAACAAAGCUGAAUAUAACCAAAGAAGCGAAGAAGCGUGUAGAAAACAAAGGAAUGCACAAUAGAAAAAAGGGCUUUACAAAGACAAAAAGCUUUUUUUUUCUUCUUUUUUUCUUUUUUCUUUUUUUUUGUCUCUUCUUCCCUGUACAGAUUUGAGCGACGAUAAUGGAGAAGGCUAAAACCCUUCUCAAAAUUCCGAAAUUAUUUAUUUCUAAAUGAAAAUAUAACAACAUUUAAAAGAAUAAAAGAAAAGAAAAAAUAAAAGAAAUUUUGCUAGCAUGGUUUGCCUGGGGUGCAUUCAAUUGUGCCAGAAAGGCGUACAAGUCUUCUGACGUAGGUUCCUGGCUUGAAGGAAAUCAUAUCAUAUCUUGAUAAACCUUUCUUCUUCCCUUUUGUUUGGUCACCUGAUGCAAUAAACACUGCUCCAUUCAUCAACUCAUCUCCUUCUGAUCUCCAUGACCAAUGCUUCCAUUCAUCUUCCAUUGCAUAUUCUCUCUUUGUUAUCUAUCAUUAUACACAUAUCUCAAAUCCGUCAUAUUGCUAAUACUUUCAUUUUACUAGUGUUUUUUGGCUUUCGGUCGUAAUUAUAUUACCUGUUUGGCAUUGGGGUUUGGAGGAGCGAUGAAACGAUUGCCUUGGCUAACAAUGGUAGGAUGUUGGCUACCGCCGAUCGCGUACAUAAGCCAAUGAGUGUAGUCAUUGUUAACAACAUGGAAGAAACCCCAUCUACACCUUGGCAUCCUUUGCACCAAUCCUCUCCCAAAGUGGUUGAAUGCUAGGGUUACUUGCAUAAUUUCGUCUUCUGCGUAGCUAUCGCUCGCUCCAAAUAACAUCACCUGUAUGCAUGCAUACACAUGUGUGUAGAUAUACGUGUCUAUAUAUAUAUGUAUAUUUAUCAUCAUAAAAAUUAAAAGAAAAUUGUUUGUUGUUGUUAAUUACCUCGUUGUGGUGAGUGAAAUGACAAUUGGAGAUAGUGAUUGCUGUGGAACCCAUGAUGGCGUCAAUAAGACCAUCUUGACAAUUGGACAUGGAAACGUGGUCGAUCCAAACAUGAGAAGAACCAAAGAUGGAGAUGCCAUCGCCAUCGCUCUGUGUUCUGAACCCAUAAUGAUCCACUGAAUCUCUAAUCAUUCCACCCGAUUUAGAUACGAUGUCAUGGAUGUGAAGGUUAUGAAUGAUUACAUUGUUGACGAAUUGAAUGGUGAGACCAGCGCCAAAGGCAAUGUGGACGUUAGCCCCCCGAGCGUCAAUGGUCUUGUGGCUUGAGAUCAUUAGCUCUUGACUCAGCCUAAUGACCAUGCUUCUCCCGAAGAUGAUCCAAAGUGGGCCUUUUUGGAUCACACCAUGUCGUAGGGUUCCAGGUUUAGGAUUAACCAAGUCAUCGUCAGACGCGUCUGUCACCACGUAGAUUGGUCCUCUCUUUCCGCCAAUGGUUUGGUGGCCGAACCCCAAUGGACAUUCCGCUAGCUUCCGUCGGUUUUUAGCCCAAUUUCGAUCGCAUCUCCAACAUCUAUCAAUGGGGUUCGUUGCCAAGCAUGGUCCUCUAUACUUCUUCCUUAGGCUCCUUCUCGUACUAUUGUGACCCAACAUCGUUCUGCCAAAACAAACCAACCAUAUAUCAGAGCCAAACAUAAUAGACAUAUUUCAUUUUUAUAUAAAAAAAAAAAAAAAAAAAAAAACUCACCGACUAACAGCAGCGUUCAAGGUAUCGGUAACAAUUUCAGGGUUAGCAUUGAAGGCACCUUGUGCAACUUUCUUAGCUUCAGUGGCACGCGUUUGCCAGUAUUCAUCUUCAUCUACAUUGGCAUUUGCUACCACAAAAAACAGCAACGAACACACAAACAAGGAACUAAAGACAGCCAUUGUGUUUUUUUUUUUGGAGGGGGAUUUUAAUCUAUUUAAUUUUCUUUUUUUUUUUUUUACUUUUUAAUUUUUAUUUGACAAGAAAUCCAACUGGUGAGUUCUUAAACCACCAGAAAUUUAGAAGAAAAAAAAAAUAGGAACUAAAAUUCUGUAGGCGAAACACAAAUGGUUCCGCCCUGAGGGUGGUGAAGGCAGAUUUUUUGAGUUUAAAUUAUAAUGGUGAGUUUCAAAGUCAAUCGAUUUUUAAGGUCCAAAAAUAGGAUAAUGCCCACAAAAAAUGGAGACUGAAUUUCAACCAUUUACCAUUUAACCUAAAACCGUUAAAAUUAAUCGUAAUAAACUCCACUUUUUGUUUACUGCCUUUAAUCUUAGCCAACAAAAUUACUCUUUCUUACACUCAUCAAUUUGGUGGCUCAAAUUUUACUUACCCUUUUGAGUUGUUUUAUGAAAUGACCUUUCAAUUUUUUGUUUAGAUAAUCAUUUGUUAAUUUAGCUGCAAUUUAUAAUCCUCUAAGCUUAAUAAAUAUGUAAAACUGUCUUUCCUGUUAUAGUAUAGUUUAUUUGUUAAAAAAACAGUUUCUUUGAGCCUCUUCCUGUUAUAAAAGGAAACCUUCUUAGUUUGAUCCAUGCACAUAAGAAAUCCAUUUGUAUCAAUCUUUUUGUUGCCCUUUGUCCUUUAUCUCGCUUAGAUAAUGUACCAUUCCUCGAGUAGUCAAAUCGCGUAGUGAUUAUUUUCUCAAGUUGACAAAACGCCUAAUGGUCAUAACGCAAAACUUCAAAACGUCUUUUAAGACAUUUCGCGGCUUUGCUCCUUUGUGCAAUUAAAAAUAUAGCCUCGUCGUUCUCCAAAUAAAACAACAUUCUUUCUUCAAUUCAUUUUCACAAAAACCAAUUAGAAUCUCAACCGUGGGCUAAACACUCACAAAUAUUAGGUAACAUAUUACUAAUAAAUGGAUUGUAAUAUUGAUUUAAAAGAUCAGUAAGACAUUGGGUCUAAAAAUUCCGUGAAAACAAUACAUUAGUAUAUGUGACGAUCAUGUUUUUAAAUUUGGUAGUCAACAAAAUACAUUAAAUUUAGAAUAUUAUCUUAUACUCAUUGAUAUAGUAAAGUUAAUUUAUUAUAUUAUAUGAUUUGUUUUACCAAAUUUAAUUAUCCUCUCGCUAUGUGCUGCCCUGUCCAUGCACUUGUAAAAUUAGUUGUGGACUUAAAUUUAAAUUUUCAAUCAUUUGUUUCAUUUAGGAAACUCUUUACUAAAAUAGUUUUAACUUCUAAUUUAACUAGAGUCUUAGCUAGGAGUCAUAGGAAAGUUUAUAAAUACUUUAAUAUUUCAAGAUGACAAAAACUGAACUAAAAUAAUAUCUUGCUCCCAAGCACAGUGGACGUAAGCACUUACUGAAGCACUCUAAAAUUUUGUGUGUUCAUCUUCUCCUUUCUCCUCUCUUCAUCUUUUCUUCAUCUCACCAUUUCCUAAAAGAAACUAAAAGAACGGAACCGAGAAAAAUACAGUAAAGAAAGAAAUAAGAAGAAAGCUUGGAGAACUCUUCUUAAUCUUCUAUAAUCCAAAUUUACACACAAAAGUGAAAAGAAAUGGAAAGUAAAAGAUGGUGGAGAGAGAAUCUACCAUUACAUGCAAAUAAGUGAUUUCUUUGUGUCCACACACGUGUCUUCCACUACAAAUUGGUAUCAAAGUGUGCAGAAAAGAUUCAAGAAAGCUUCAAGAACCACAUUUUUGAUUUCAACACUACAUCAAAAACUACCUAUUAUGGUUGUUGUAUACAUCCCAAAUUGAAGGAGGAAAGAAAAAAUUGUCACAAAAUAUCAAAAUUCGCGUUUUUGACGGGAAAAUACAGAAUUUUUCGAAUUCAAAGAAUUUAUGAUAGUUUUUAACUAUCAUAAAUCUAAGAAAAUUUUAAAAUGUAAUUAAAUAUAAAUAAUAAAAUAUAAUUCCCCCCCCCCCCCAAUUUGCCUCCAACUUUUCAUUAAAAAUUAUUAAAAUAUAAAUUUACUUUUAUUUCCUCUUUCUUCAUUAUAAUACUCACGAUACAACCCAAAAAACCCAACUCCAACCUCAUUCUUUUAUGUCUCCACUACCUUUCUUCUAAAAAGCGGAGACCCACGACAAUGUCGAAUCUAAGUGUUUCAAAGAGAUCGAUCCAUGCUUGUUUUCUCAUUGACGGCAACCCACACUUGUUUUAAAGAUUUCGAAGAUAGGUUAAUGUUUAAUACCUUUCACUUUUGUGUCUUUCUCUUUUCUGAAUUUAAUCGGUAAGGUAUAAGAAAUGGAACAAAAUUUGGAACAAAAUUUACUAUUCCAUCUGAUGAUAAUGAUUUUGUGCAAUGUGUCAUUCCCCAUUUAAUUUUCAAUGAUUGCAAAAAAUACUCAUUAUUUUGAAUUGGUUAAAGCAUCCAUUAACUCCAUGAGAUGAAUGUAGAGGUAUAGGGAAGGAGAAAGGCAAAGUAAGGAGAGCAGUCAUAUUCAACCAAAGUUUUCAUUUUCACUCCCAUUUUCUUUUCAUUUUUCAUUUUACCCACAAUACGAAGGUAUUCAACCAAAGGUUCAUUAUUUCUAUUGUUUGUAUUUGUACAGUAAUAUAUUAAUAUGUGGUUGUGACGUUUUUUUUUUCUUAUUUCUUUUGUAUUAGUCUACUUUACAGAAUAUGAAGCAUUUUGUUGGUUGCUUACAAUGUGUUUGAUGAAUUGUCUCAAUGAAGCAUUUGGUUGAUUUUUAAUUGAUUUUUGUUCGUUCGAAUUAGGAAAUCAAGGCCAAGGGAGAUUUCAUGGCUAUGAGUUGAAGCUUUGAGAAAAAGAGAAUGAAAAAUGAAAGGUGAGAUUUUAAACUUUGAUGAUGUGUAGGGUCUUUUUGUUUAUGUCUAUGCAUUUUUCAAGUGAAUUUGAGUACUUUUGAUUUUUCUAUUGAUCUUUUAUUUAUGGUUGCUAUUGAGUUGUAUCGUAAUUGCAUGAUAAUCAUAGCAUAAACAAACGAUAUAUCUAAACUUGAACACAAGUACUUGUUAUCUAACUCAUUACUAAAUUGUUGUAAUUUGGUUACUCUUAAUUUACUAAUGAUUGAAGAUUAAAAGAAGUUAUGAACGUUUUCACUAUGAGCAAUAAAUAAACACUUUAUGUUGCUAAUGAACUUAUCUUGAUUUAUAGGAAGCUCUAAUAAACCAUCAAUUUCAAUUAUUUUGGCCUUGUUAUAGUUGUGAAAUUCUAUUUCUUUUUGUACGUGUUGGAAGUUAAUAUGCAAUAAUAGUCCUACUGCUCCUAGGCAGAGAGAAGUCUGAUAUUUGUAAGGUAAGUCAUUUGCUAUUAAACCUAAAUGUAUUAUUGAAUUCCAUUUUCCAUUGUUAUUAUCUUUGAAAAAGAAUGCUAACCUUCACUCUUUUUUUUUUUUUUUUUUGUCUCUAUUAUGAUCUUGCAAUCUUGAAAGCGUUACAGUUUCUUUUGUAACAUAAAUUUUUUUAUUUGAUUUGGAUUGAAAUUAUGUCUUGCUUUGAUUGAAUGAUAAAUGAAAUGAUUAUUGAUAGUUAUGGGUAUGUACUCUCUCCCUUUCUUACAAUAAGUAUAGUAGCAACACAAAUUUCUACAUGUUCUUUUAUAUUGAAAUGAAAGACCAAAAAAUGCAUAGGGUGCCCAUGAGCAUAUCUGCAAGUUGUUAAGGUGGUGAAUUAAAAUAACUCGCAAAAACCAUAUCUUUAAAGUGGGAGCGUGAGACAUACAGUACGGAAGGUACGAUUAUGAUUUAUGCAUUCCUAAAGUAUAGUCUUUUUGUUACAAUGGAGGCUAUAUUUUUUAUUUUCUACUUUCUGGUAUAUGCUUCAUAUUGUGUGUAAUAUAAGUCAUCAUUUAUAAUGCACUUAGUAUAGACAUCUUUUAUAAUGCUACGUGAACUUUUCAUAUGACAUACCCUUUUCAACAAACCUCCCCAAACCUUGUUUGUAAUAUUUACAUUUUUUGAUAGAUGUGUUGUAUGUUCAUUGUUGAUAAUGGGUAUUCUUCGACAAAGAUUUAUUUUGUAUGGUAGAAUUUUAUCUGCCACUUACCAUGCUAGACCUUUCCAAGAGGAGUAAAUUUGAAAAUUUUGAAGAAACAACCGUUGUCUUGACUUAAACUUUCUUUGGGUGCAUUCUUGUCAAUUAGAAGGAAUAUCUCUCUCACGCUAGCUAAUAAUCAGUUUUAUUUGCUCUCUAACUUUUAGUUUAUUCUCUUUAGACACUCUCUAAUGCAUAUGAUUCAUUUACCACAUAAAAUAACUGUCGUCGUAGACCAUUUUUCUUGUAAUGUAGCUAUAAUGAAUUAUUUGCAUUUUACCAUUUUUAAAUAUUAAUUGUUAAUAGUUUGGCUAUUUAUUUUUUUAUUUGACUAUUAUUUUUCUAGUUUGUUGAAUGCAACUUUGUUGGUUCGUUUGACACACUUAAUGGUAGGUUAUUGCCCUUCUAAUCACAAAUUUUAUUUUAAAGAAAUAUUUAUCUUUAUUAGUUGAAAACUUGCAACUCUAUUUUAUUGCUCCUGUCAUAGAUACGAAUGAGGUUGAAUUUUAUUUAUUUAUUGAUAUCCCAUUAGAGAUAUUUUAUGUUAUUCACCAUUGGAUGUUACGAUUUCAAAAAGUUUAUUUUUAUUUCAUUAGCCAAUGAAAUUUGUUUCUAUUAUAAGAAAGUUCAUAUAGUCAAAAAGUCUGGUGUUGAAUACAUAUUUCUUUUAGUAUUCUAGGAGAGUUUCAAUCCUUAGGAACAUUAGAUGGCAUUGUUUCAUUAGCAAAAUGGAGGAUUUUAAACAGAUUGCAUGAUAGGAAUGAGAUGGUAUUGUCAAGUAAGUUGCAAAAUUAUUGUUGUUUAGAUGCUUGUGAUUAUGUUUUUUUCAUUUUAGGUCCUUAUUGAUAACAUAAAAGCACUGGAUCCAUUUCUUUUGAGGUGGAGAUUUGUAAGAAACUAUUUAUUAAAAUAGUUAUCUUUUACUUUAAGAAAAAAUAUAGCUAAUUUUGUUAAUUGAACUUAUGAUUUAACUAUAGUUUUAACUAGGAGUUAUAGGAAAGUUUAUAAAUACAUUAAUAUUUCAAGAUGACAAAAACUGACUGAAAUAAUAUCUUGCUCCCAAGCAUAGUGGACGUAGGCACCUACUGAAGCACUCUAAAAUUUUGUGUGUUCAUCUUCUCCUUCCUCCUCUCUUCAUCUCACCAUUUCUUAAAAGAAACUAAAAGAACAGAACCCAAAAAAAUACAGUAAAAAAAGAAAUAAGAAGAAAGCUUGGAGAACUCUUCUUAAUCUUCUGUAAUCUAAAUUUACACACAAAAGUGAAAAGAAAGGGAAAGUAAAAGAUGGUGGAGAGGGAACCUAUGAAUACAUGAAAAUAUGUGGUUUCUUUAUAUCCACACGCGUGGCUUCAAUUACAAACAUUGUAAUCAACUUUAUAACGAUAGUUCAAUUUCAUGGUCUAUUAGUAGUCGUUCUCAUAUUAAUUCAGUUUCUUCCUCCAAAUUUGUAGAACUUUUCCUUUUCAAUUAUAGAGGACGUCAAAUUUGAUGUAUUUGAAUAUGGUAGGGUAAUUAAUAAAGCUUUGAGUUACUUAUAAAUUUUUCUUUUUAAUUGUAAUAUAUCUUUUAAAGUACUUCUCAUGAGCUAUACUAAUAUUUUGUUUGGGUACUUUUUAAUUAACUCCAUCUAAUUUAGUUAACUUGGUUGGUUUUUGUACCUUUUUCUUGUAAUUAUAAUGAGGUUUUAUUUUAAAUUUCUAAUUAAUAGGACCAAAGAUACAAUCCCUCAAAUAUACAUGUAGUCGAGUUCAAUGGAAUAGCUUGAAUCUGUUUAAACCUAAAGACUUAUUCAUGAUGAAGUGGUUUGCUUACUAUAUUUUAUUUUUAUUUUCUUAAUGACGUUCCAUACGUUGGAUUUUAUGCUCUAAGUUUCAUGUGCUUCCUAAAUAAACUAUUUGUUAACUUGCUUUAAAUUUUUGUAUUUAAUUUUGCAUAAACUAUUUCAAUAGAACAAUGUCCAAAAUUAUUUAUAAAAACUCGGACGGACAAUACGAAGUUCACAUGCACAAAUGAAUCAUGUUCAAGUAAAUAAUCUAAAAAGUCUACGAUAAUGGAUAAAAUUAGGUGUCUAAUUAUUCCAAUGAUACUAUGAUUUUGAUCCACUUUUGUAAUUGUUAAAAUGGAUACGAUGUGAAAUGUGUUCUUGGAAUAUAAGUGGCUCAAGCCCUCAACUCAAAAUGUCUACUACCAUGACUUAGUUAAAAUGGUAGAAACUCCAUUAAACCACACUUAAUUAAUCAUUGUUUAAAGUCAAAAUGGUUGAUUCAUCCAUUAAAUAGCUCAAUCGUUCUAAUAAAGUCUAUGUCAUUAUAUUUUAUAAAUUGCAAAAUUAAUAAACUUGAAAGUGGAUAGUCAUUUGAUAAUUGUAGGAUAUAUCUAAUUACUUCAUACGUAUAAUAUGUAAAAAAAAAAUGGUAUCAACGGUUUUAUUUUAUAAAAUUUGUCAUUUAUUUUUUAUUUAUGGAUGUGAUACAAGAAUCUAACCUACCAUCCCUUAGAAGAGAAAGUUGAUAUUCUUUUACUUUAAUUUUAAAGUAGUAUUUGAGUCGUUUUUUUAAAAUAUAACAAAAUCCCUUUUUCAUCAUUCAAAUUAGUUUAAUAUUUAAUUAUUUAAUUAUUAAAAUUGAUACAAAUAAUUUUAAAUAGUUAUGGGUGUGGAAGUAGAAGUGGUUCUAAAUUGAAAUAAAAAAGAUAUUAAAUGGGACAUAAAUUAAAAAGCAAUAUCAUAAAUUUCUCAUUAUUUUUCUCAUAAAAAAUGACCUUAACGAAUUUAAUAAAUGGAAAAUUGCAAAAAUUCCAUAAUUCGGAAAUUGAAAAUGGAAACGCAGGGUUUCGAACAACGAAUAUGCGUGCUCGAUGUUCCGAUUCUCAAGGCCACGUUAGACCACAAAUCAACGCCCACAAAGCUACCUCACACUUAAUACAAACAUCCAACGGUUCAAAUUAACUCUAUUUUCUUUCUUCCAUCGGCCUGCCUCUUCCUUCUUUUCUUAUUUCAUUUCAUCAUUAAUAAACACUUCAAGGGCCACCCUACGCCACGAUUUCCUCUUUUCUCCCUCACCGCCGAAGUUCAUCAAUCUCCUCUUCCCGGAAAAGCCAUGGGGAAAGGUCCAGGUCUUUACUCCGACAUUGGCAAGAAAGCUAGAGGUUCCUUCCUUUCUUCUUCAUUCUCUGUUUCUCUAUGUCUUUCUUGUUCUCUAACUUGUUGAAAUUAUUUUUUUCCCUUUUUCCAUAGAUCUUCUCUAUAAGGAUUACCAGAGCGACCAUAAAUUCACCGUCACUACUUACACUUCUGGUGGAGUUGUGAGUUUCUGAAUUUUUCUUCCUUACAUUUUCAGUCGGAUUUUGUUGUUUUGGCGGCUUUUUAUUGCAAUCAACAUAUCGUUGUUCCUUCUCUGUGCUGUAAUUUCUUUUGUGUGUUGCUUUUGUUUGAUUCUUGAGAAAUGUUUGCAUUGGAAAGCUAAGCGACUCACUGUCCUACGCCCCGACGGAACGACGGACCGACUGACCGACUGACCUCGCUUCUUUCUAUGUAAUUAAUGUUUGUUCUUGGGUUUGUAGGUCGGAGGGGUGUAAUCUUUGUUUUGAAGAUUCAAGAAUUCAUUUCUGUCGGUAUUGUCAUUUUCAGGCCGGAUAUCGAUAUUGUUUUUUAUCUUUAUUUUACUAAGGGCUAAGGCAGAGGAAUUAAGAGCGGGAGGAUUCUUGGAAUUCGUGUCAAGAGUGUUAUGUAGUUUUUGUUAGAGAUUGUUGAAGAAAGAAUCGAAAAUAUUAAAAGGUUUUGCAAUGUACAUUCUUUUUUUCGUUAUUUUGGACGGUUUAAUAUUUUAUAAUUAGAUGUUUGUGAUUGGGUUAAAUAAGGUGCACCAUUUUCUUAGAUAACUUUAGUCGAAAGCAAUUUCUUUUCGCGAGCAUUCCCAAGGAAUAGCCUCUUUCUAGCUAACAAUAAAAAUGUUGAUACACUGAAGCUCCCGUUUGUCUAAGCAAUCUCUUACCCAAAAGCUUUUAUUUCUAUUAAUUAUUAUUGAAUCUGGGAUGUUCCUAUAAUUGUUUUUGUUUUCAUAUGUAAAGCUAUAGGCUGGUAUCGUAAAUGCCAUAAUCUAGUUUAGGACAUAAUGUGCAAGUAUAACUGACUUUUAUGAAUUUCUUAUGAAACUAUCAUUUGCUUAUCUGACCUUUAUAUGAUGCAGCAUGUCACAUCUUUCGUUUUUGUAUUUCUCUUAUGUUAUAAUUGAACUUUCUCUUUGAUUCACUUUUCAGGCUAUCAGUUCUACUGGAAUUAAGAAAGGUGAGAUAUUUUUGGCAGAUGUAAGCACUCAGCUAAAGAACAACAACAUCACAACUGACGUAAAAGUUGACACCCACUCCAAUGUAAGUCUAUAUGACUAAACAUUUCAAAGGUUUCUAUAUGUUUUGAAAAUAUAGUUUCACUGAAUAAGUUUGUAUUUUGAAAUGCUCUUAAGUGUUUGGUACUUGUAAAUAGUUUCCUUUGUAUUGUGCUAGAAAAACUAUUUUGUGCUGCUGCUGAUGUGAAGAUUUUAUCUAAAGGUUUGUUUUUGCUUGAGCUGUAGGUUCACACUACUGUUACUAUUGAUGAACCUGCUCCAGGGUUGAAGACAAUUUUUAGCUUUCGUGUUCCUGACCAGAGAUCUGGCAAGGUAGUUACUUCUUAAAUUGUGUGAUGCUACUAGGACAAAAACAAAUUGAUGAUCUUUUGUAGUUUUCUAACAAUUGGUAGAAACAGGGAUGACUUCUCUGUUCCCCAUUCUUGCCUCAAAAAUAUUUCCCACCUUCUGUGAAAAUUUUCUUAAAAUGGGGUGUUCUCGACUCCUUGUGGUUGAUUUAUUAGAAUAAGAUAAACUAUGUAUAAAAAAAUAUAAGCUAUCAAUCUAUCAUGCAGCAUUAAUUAUCAAACAAUUUACACCCGUAUGGGCACAGAUUGAUCUUCUUGUAUUUGAUCAUUUAUGAUAACUUGUUCAGGUUGAACUCCAAUAUCAGCAUGAAUAUGCUGGAAUAAGCACUGGCAUUGGUCUGACUGCCAGCCCCAUUGUUAACUUCGCUGGUGUUAUUGGAAAUGACAAACUCUCACUUGGAACAGAUUUGUCAUUUGACACUGCCUCAGGAAACAUUACUAAAUUGAAUGCAGGCUUGAGUUACACUCACUCUGACCUUAUUGCGGCACUUACCUUGUAAGAAAGCAAACUCUUUCUUUGUACUUCUUUUCUCAUACCUUUGUUUAUUUAUGAGAAUUUAUCUUUUUCAUUGAGAGAAAAUGAAAGAAUAAAAAAGGAGGCGACCUAAAAAAGUAGCCCGUAAAAUGAUUCCCUUCCAGCAGUUAUUUUAUGCUUAUUCUCAAAACAAUAUUCUUUCAACAAAGUGACAAAAAUGUAGCACUUUUACUCUUAGUGAGAGAGUUGUCGAGAAAGGAGAGAACACUUUACAUUUUCUCUCAGAAGAUUUAUACUCCGAACUAUUAACUCUUAAUUCGAAAAUGCUUAACUUUAGAAUAAAGUUUUUAUUUUAUUUUAUAUCUAUUACUGGUUAAAACCACUUUGCAUCUGCAUGCGCCAUACAAAGAGGCCAUAGCAAAAGAAACCAAUAGAAGUUAAAGCCCUUCUAUCAUAACCAAGACCAGACAUAUGAUAUUCAAUCUGUGUUGUCAAAUUACAGGAACGACAAAGGUGAUGCUCUUACUGCAUCCUACUACCACCUGGUUAGCCCAUUGAGCAACACGGCCGUUGGUGCGGAGCUUUCACAUAGCUUUUCUAGCAAUGAAAACACUCUCACUAUAGGCACACAGCAUGCUCUAGACCCCCUGACUUCAGUGAAGGCACGGGUGAACAACUAUGGUAGGGCAAGUGCUCUAAUCCAGCACGAAUGGCGCCCGAAAUCCUUGUUCACCAUUUCUGGAGAAGUUGACACACGAGCCAUUGAUAAGAGCGCAAAGAUUGGUCUAGCCUUGGUUCUCAAGCCUUAGGGGGAAAUCUGUUCAUCCUUGGAGAUUACCGUGGAGGGUAAUAAGCUGGUUUUUUCUUCAUCUAGUGUAGACUUUUUUCUUUUUCUUUUUCUUUUUCUUCAUAUUAUCAAAAUUUCCCUUCCCCAACUGGAACAUUGAUGUUUGUUUUCAAUUGGUUGCAUCUGUUGGAGGGUGUUCGGGUUUGUGAAAAUAAUUGACUUCAACAAUCAGUUUUCUUUUGGCUGAAGUGAACUUUGCGGUGGUUUUUAAACUCAAUUGAAAUCAUUCACUUUAGUUCAGUGCAAAGCGAGGGGUGUUGGUUGAUCUUGAAAUUAUUCGGUUUUGAAAAGGUUUUGUGUAGGGUUGCUGUGGUGACCGCAGAUGAAGUCAUGUUCGAAAAGAGAAUUGGAGAGGGUAAUAUGAAAAAUGAAAACAAAACGGAUGAAUUACAAAUUUACAAUGGUUUCAACAUUUAGAAAAGUUAAUUAUUUAUAAAAUUGAAUUUUAUAUCUUGACUGGGAUUCUAGAAUUUUAAUUUAAUGUUUAAUCAACCAUUUUUUAGGUUAAAAAAAAAAACUUUAGAAUUUAAGGAUUUAACACACGAUGAUACACUUAUUAGUUAAAAGUUGUAAUUUAAUAAUAAUGUAUGAAUAGGUUUUGUAAUUAUUUUUUACGAAAUGAUAAACAGAAGGUUUUAAAAAAGAAAAAUCUGAAAAGGAUUUAGAAAAUAAAAUAUAGGCCAGAUAUGAAAUAGAAAUUGUUUGGAAAAAAAAAUAGUUUUUUUAAAUUUAAUUUUUUAAAAAAUAGAAAGUAUUUUUUGUGAUAUUAUGUGAAAGCUAUAAUUAGAAAAUAGGGUGUGACAUAACUAAACAUUCUUUGAUCUCCAUACUUAUACUUAUAGAUGUAGCACUAAAAGUAAAUUGUAAAAAUCUAGUUCAUUUUUUAAAAAAAUACUUCUAAAAAGAGAUUACAAAUUAAAGAAUGGAUUAUUUGUAAUUAAGGUUUAAACACCCAAUUUAAAAAAUAUAUAUAAAGGUAGACUUAAACAUAGACUACUAUUUGUUUGAGUCAUAUUGUAACUUAUAUAUUUGAGAAAAAUCCGUAAAAAAUGAUACUUAAAAUUAAAAAAGAAAAACCUAGGUAAGGCCGUACCCGCUCUUUUACUUCCUCACUCUCGGGGAGACUAUCCUUUCUUCACGCCGGUUCCCUCCCUUACGCACCUCCUUGCCACCGCCGCCGUUGGUAUAGUCUCUCUUCCCGCUUUGUCCCUCUUCUACCAGUUUUUUACUGCUAUACAUUUGGCACUCCCGUCAUCCCUUGUCCGGUUCAAAGUUCACCUGUGCACGAGGGCAAUACUGUAUCAUCUCCGUCAACUGGAAAUGUUUUGACGGUACGCAUCCCUUGCUAGAUCCGAAUCUCCCUCCAUUUCUCUUUCUCUUUCUCCGGUAACUUUAGUUAUUUCACUCAUCUAUUUCUCUAUUGAUUGGCCUUUUCUGGUGCUGUAACAGUGAUGGUUCUUUUUUUUCCUGGUUCGUGUUAUUACUGCACUGUGAACAUGAUGGGAGAAAUUAGUGUUUAUGUAACUACGAGAGUCUCCAAAGUGUGUAUUGCAGUGUCGUGUUUAGAGAAGAAAAGGGAUUUUGUUUCUAUUUUCUUGAAUUGUAUCUUUCUUCAAAUGUCUGUCCGAUAAUCUGUUACAGGAUCGGCGCAGCCUCAGAAUGUUACUUACUGUUUGAAUUUCUUGAAUUGUAUCUUUCUUCAAAUGGUUUGAUUUUUUUUUUCCCCCUUUACUUUUGAAGGUCUCCUGUUAACAGUGAAAUUCUCGUUUUACUAUUAGUGCUAGACUUUGUUUCUCAUUUGUGUUAUCUUAACUAAUUUUUGGGAGCUUGAUUGUAGAGAAGAAAUGAAAAGAGGAGCUUAAUAUCUAGGAUAAGCUUGUGUUGAUUAGAAGCUUCAUUUCCGAGCAAGCUAUAAUGGAAAUUGAUGAUCAAAACCCUGCAUCAACUGCUGCGGAAUCUCCUGAAACCCUUCCUGGUGGUGAAAAUGAGGAACUUGAUAAUCCAGCCGAACCAACUCAACCUGCAGCUACAUCAGUUAUUCCACCUUCAAUUGUCCCUGCCAUUGCUCCUAUCCCCCCUCCAAUUAUCCGUCCAUUGGCUCCUCUUCCGAGCCGACCUCCCCUCUUUAGGCCCCCUGUAACACAAAAUGGUGAGCUGAGAACAAGUGACUCAGACUCGGAACAUGAUGAAUUGGCUCCUUCCCGAACAGCUCCAGGUUCAACUGCAGAGUAUGAAAUCUCAGAAGAGAGCAGGCAAGCUAGGGAGCGUCAUGAAAAAGCCAUGCAGGAAUUUUUGAUGAAGCGUCGUGCUUCUGCUCUAGCAGUGCCUACUAAUGACAUGGCUGUUCGAGCUCGUCUUCGACGUCUUGGUGAGCCCAUAACUCUUUUUGGAGAAAGAGAAAUGGAAAGACGGGACAGGUUGCGGUCGAUAAUGGCACGAUUGGAUGCUGAAGGGCAGUUAGAGAAGCUCAUGAAAGUUCACGAGGAAGAGGAGGCUGCAGCUACUGGUGGAACUGAGGAGGCUGAGGAGGAAGUGCUUCAGUAUCCCUUUUAUACUGAGGGGUCCAAAGCUCUCUUGGAUGCAAGAAUUGAUAUUGCAAAGUAUUCCAUCCUAAGAGCAUCUUCACGCCUGGAGCGUGCAAAGAGGAAACGGGAUGACCCAGAUGAAGAUGUGGAAGCGGAAAUGGAUUGGGCUCUGAGACAGGCUGAAAGUUUGGUCCUGGACUGUAGUGAGAUAGGAGAUGAUCGACCACUUUCUGGUUGUUCUUUCUCGUCUGAUGGAAAAUUUCUUGCCACUAGGUAUCUUCUCACUUUGCAGUUAAUGAUUUUUAGCUACUGUACCAGUUUCCCCUUUUUAAUAUCCAUCCCCAUUUCGCCUCUUGGUAGAAGGGGGAAAAACGAAAAAAGAAAAUAUAAUAGAUCUUUCUGGCUAUAGAUUAGCUAUUAUCUUCCUACUUAGCUAAACUUCCUCAGUUGAACACGAAACCAAAGAUAAUAUAGAAAUUAAUGUUUUUCCAUUUUUCAUUCCAGUACGUGAUAAGCUUUACAGGCUUUGUAUUUAGCUUUCAUUUGCUACUGGCUUUGCAUUUGAUGGUUUCUGUAUUUUUUUUUCUUGUUUCAUUUCUAUAGUUCAUUGAGUGGAGUUGCAAAAUUGUGGAGCAUGCCUCAAGUAAGGAAGGUUUCCAACUUUAAGGGACACACAGAGCGUGUUACUGAUGUAAUGUUUUCUCCAGUGAACGAGUGUUUAGCAACUGCCUCUGCUGACCGAACUGCAAGGUUGUGGUCUGCUGAAGGAUCUCUACUUAAAACAUUUGAGGGCCAUCUAGACCGCCUUGCACGAAUUGCCUUCCACCCGUCGGGCAAGUACUUGGGCACAACUAGCUUUGACAAGACCUGGAGAUUAUGGGAUGUUGAAACUGGUGUAGAAUUACUUCUUCAAGAAGGUCACAGUAGAAGUGUCUAUGGGAUAGCCUUCCACCAUGAUGGAUCCUUGGUAUCAUCUUGUGGACUUGAUGCGCUUGCUCGCGUUUGGGAUCUUCGAACUGGUAGAAGUGUUCUUGCCUUGGAAGGCCACGUCAAGCCAGUAAAGCUCUCUCCUUUCUUUCGAUGGGAUUGUAGAACAUUUGCUUUUUUAAUAAAUUGGCUUGUUUGCUUCUCACUGAUUCCUUGUUUUUCAAUGGAUGUCAUAUGUCUAUGAUGUUAUAACCAGGUCCUUGGAGUUAGUUUUUCACCCAACGGUUAUCAUUUAGCUACUGGUGGAGAAGAUAACACUUGUCGAAUAUGGGAUUUAAGGAAGAAAAAAUCUCUUUACAUAAUACCUGCACAUUCAAACUUAGUUUCACAGGUGAAAUAUGAACCUCAGGAGGGAUAUUUCUUGGUUACUGCAUCAUUUGAUAUGACAGCAAAGGUAAUCUUGAAUACUGCCAGGAUGAUAUAAUCUUGUUCAAUUCUUAAUAUUUUCAUUUGAUUGUUGCUUAAUCUCACUUGUUGUCUAAGGUUUCACUAUCAUAUGCUCAACUUUUUUUUUCUGCAGAUUUGGUCUGCUCGAGAUUUUAAGCCUGUGAAGACACUCUCUGGUCACGAAGCAAAAGUUACAUCUUUGGAUAUAAUUUCAGGUUAGUUAUAUAACAACUCCUAGGUCAUUUACUAUUAUUGCGUUGUUUACACAGAUUGCCACCUAAAGAUUUGUAAUUUUCACCGGUAAUUAGCCUUAUUUAGGCACAAUCUCAGAUUGAACUAAUUAACAAAAAUAUCUUUCUGAGGUGGAACCAUAUUAUGUCAUUGAUGAGCUGGAAUUCGGGAUCCUAUUUUAUUAGCUCUAGUGGUGAAAAUGGACAGCUUUUUCUUGGUCUAAAAUUAAGUGCUCUUUCAAACAUUAUAGGUUAUCGAUUUUAGUUACUGGUUCACGAUCUCUUCUUUGAUCACCUUUAGAUUCUUGAGAUAUCCUCCUUAUUUCAUUUUGAAAUAUUCCUUUUACACAAAAAAAAAAGAGGUUUCGGACCUUUGGUGGCGGGCGAUGGCCAUGUUAGCUCCAGUGAGAGAGAGCAAACGAGUGAGAGAGAAAGGGGACUAACCAAUGAGUGGUACAACCAGUAGGGAAGGGGGAACUAAAACCAACUAGUGAUGGAGAGAAGGGGAAGAAGUACCUUUUGGUUUUAUUGGGAGAAGUGUUGAGCUCGAGUGAGAGGGAGAUAAACAAAAUGGUUGUUGAUUGAAGUCUCAUCUCUGCAAUUUAUGAAAGAGAGAAAAAAGGAAAGAAAGAAUGACUUGAAGUCUUUAACCUUCAAAAAAUUGUGUGUGUCUAUAUAUAUAGAUAGAUAGGUAUAUGAGAUUGAUUCAGUUCAGGUUGAAUCAAAGUUCUUUUCAAGUAUGCCCAAUUCUUUUGUUUAUUUUUGUGAUCUUGUACAAUUCACAGCGGAGUAACCAACCCAAGUUCUAAUUACUCAACUUUUUUCAUCAACAUAGAUUGGAAGGUUUAUAUUGAGAGAAGUGAAUGAAUAUAGGAGGGAAUUAGAAAAAACGUGCAACAGAAAGAGGGGAUCAGACUAACUACGUGGACUCCAGUCCAAAUGAACAAGACCUAGGUCAUAAGUACAAAAAGAACUACUGAUUGACGCCCACAAGGACAUGUUAGGCCGUUCAAGAGAUUUUACUGUAGCUUAGCUUUUUCCUUCGUUGUUUGGUGGCCUCUUCUUUGGCUACCUGUUGGGUGUUCUCACUUUAGAAGGUUAAAAAUUCUAAAAAAGGUAAAUCUUUUUGUGGUGAAUUCUUAAAAGUAGUGCCAGUAUGGUUGGACUAUACCAGGGGAAGGGGAUCUAGAACACCUUUAGGGUGGUGUUCCUAUGGCUUAGAACAAAUUCUUUUUCCCGGAUGAUGGAUGUUAGUUCAAUCCAAGGUUGUUAAAUGAUCUUUUGGGCACUGGAAAGUAUUUCAGUAAUCUUUGUAAUACGGUGUUGGUUUUUUCUCUAAUCUUCACCCUUGCUGUAAUAUUUCAGCCCAUUAUUGUUUAUGUGAAAUUUCAAAUAAGACCAACUCAACCAGAAUAUGGUUAAGGAUUUAGGAAAUUAUUAAAGGAUACUGGACUGUUUUUGUGACAAGUAAAACGUUGGAAGGUGUUUGAAUGUAAUUUGCUUGUCUUUAAGGACGCAACCAUAAAAGUUAUCAACAGUUUUUCUUUGGUUUUAAUAUGAAUGGUUACUGAUACAUCUUUAACACUAAGCUCUAAGUUUGUGCAUUGUAUGCUUAAAAUACUUUAUGGAGCUUUAUUCUGCAUAUAUGCUUCUGAUACCCUGAUAUUGUUCUUGUCAAUAACAGACGGACAGUGUAUUGCAACCGUCUCACAUGAUCGGACCAUAAAGCUCUGGUCUGUUAAUAGUAAAGACAUUCAGACUAUGGACGUUGAUUGACUUUUCAUAGUAUCAACAUGGGAGAUGUUUCACGACCUUACUUGAACAGGGUUCUGUUCUAUAAAUUGUUCGUCUCGUCCUUGAGUACUAAAGAGACAUGAGAGAUGUUUCGAAACUUUGUGGCCUCAGGUGAUAAAGAGCUUGGAUCAGAUGAUCUCUGUAACAUCAUGUAUCUGAUUAAAAUUUUUUAGGGAAAACCCCUGUACUUUUUUUUUUUCCUAGAAGAGAAAUGGAAGGAUUAUAUCAAUGGAGGACAUAGAGAAAAAGGGAGAUCGGGAUAUUUCCCGCAUGUUGAGAUUAAAAAUGCACCAAAAUUAGAGGUAAGAAUUGAUAAGUAAAUUACAUGUAGUUUUCUUUAGAUUUCCUUUUGGUUAGAAAUGGUUUGUGCACCGACUACCAUAGUGAUUAUUCGGUUAAAAUACAAUUUCAGGUAAGCCUAAUUGGACCAAUUAGACUCUAACCAAAUCUAUAAAUUUAUCAAUUGCUUUUCCGUCUUAAUCUCUGUUGAGUUCGAUAAGCAAAUGUUUUUUAAUUAACUCUAAAUUGAAUAAGUUGGUGGUGAAGAUGAUCACAUUCCCUAUUUGGAUGUGUGCACAAUUCUCGAAAAUCUUAGUUAUGUUGAAUUGAAAUAACCGAAAAUGUAUGGAUUAAGUAUGGAAGAGAAUUAUGCUUUUUUUGUUGGAUUUGGUUGUAACAGUAUGAUCUAGAAUUUUAGAUUUUCAUUUCAAUACGAAAUCAGAAGUAAAUGAAAUAAGAAAAUACAUGCGAGUUGAUAAGUGAUGAGAACAAGAAAAAGGAAUUGAAGAGAGAGAGAGAGAGAGGUUAGGAAAAAGAAAUUGAAAUUGUCUUUGUUUGUAAUGGGAAACCCCAAACACGUGCAUAGAAUUUGAUCAAACUCCAACGUGGAUGCAUAAAUGUGAUUUAGUCAUACAUGAAACGCAAUUAAAUAAAUAACACACGAUGAAAAAGGAAGCGUACCAAUAUUUUUACACAAAGUUCUUCAAUAUAUUAUGCUACUUUAUACAGAAAUAAUUACUUUAAAUUUUAAAAUAAUAUAUCCUUCAGACAUAUAUGUGAAAUGUUAAAUGAAUUUAAAUGUAGAGAGUCGUAUAGAAAUUAGAUACUAAUCUAUAAAUUAGGUUCAAAGUAUGAGUAUACAAAGCAAUAUUUUAAAAGAAUUAUAAAAUGUUGCAAAAUUUUAUAUUUAACUAUUAUUGAUAGAAUUUGAAAUAUUUUAUACAUAUUUUUAUCAAUUUUUUUUUUUUUUUACAAUACUUACUCUAAUAAUAUGUUAUAAAAAGAAACCAAGUAUAACUUUUAAAUAUUUAUGUGCAUUUUCGGGUGUGAGACUCUGUUUAAGUGUACAAUUAGAAGUUACCAAAUAACACACUUUUUUUUUCCUUGUUAACAUUUAAAAACUCAAAUAGUUAUAACUUAAACAAUUAUGGUAUAGAAUCAUAAAAAUAGAGCUGAGUUAAAGUCUAUUAGAUUGAAAGUGAUUAAUUUAAGGAGAGAACAACAAAAAGUGGAAGAUAUUAAUUUUCUUUUUUAUGAAAUAAAUAAAGAUAGAUAUUUGUCGAAAUAUUGGGAGUUUGAAAAUAAAAGGAAGGCAGUGUGGAAAUGUCAAGAUAUUUAAUUUUAGGUAUUGACAUUGUGGAAAUUAAGGGAUUGACAUAUGGAGGAGGCAAUGAAUUGCAUGAAGGCAACAAGACUCACUCAACCUUUCAUAUUCUUCUUCCUUCUUCCUCAAAUGGGAACCCCAACUUUCUCUCUUUACUUUUUCUUCAUUUCUCUCUUUACUUUUUCUUCAUUUCUCUCUUCCCUUUCCCUUCCAUUUUCUCCCAAUUCUUUUGCUUUCCAUUAUUUCCAUCCCAAUGGGUAACUGCUUAGAUUCUUCUGCUAAAGUUCAAAAUGCCCACACCUCCCAAGGAACUCACGGUAACACUCUUAUCUCCAUUUCUAUACAUGAAUCUCUGACCCUUUUCUUUUCUUCUCUUAUUAUUUAUGUUUUUGCUCUCUUUUGGCCUUAUGGUUUCUGGGUUUUCAUUGCUUUGAUCUUUUGCUUGGUUUGGUUAUUUGGAAUUUUUGGUGGAUUCUGCUGUUCCCUGUUGUUUUCUUUUUCCCCUCUUUUCUUUCUGGUUUUAGCUAAUUUGAGAUUAGGCUGCUGUUUUUAUGAUACUGUGUAUUGGUUGAAGUUUCCAAUUGUUUAUUCUGUUUGGAAAGAAAAAAAAGAUCUAGAGACAAAUGUAAUUUGUUAAAGUCAAUGGAAUUAAUUAUUUUUAUUUGGAGCUUUAUGGGAAAUGGGUAGAAACUAGAAAGUAAUGGGUUUACUAUUGUAAGCUUCUAACCUUGAUUAAUUAAUUGAAAAUUAAGUAUGACAAAGUUGAAUUAGAAAUUUGUUUCAAUUUUCCUAACUCCUAAGAAAUCAACCAUUGCCAAAAGUGAGCCUAGCCUAUGCUUAUACUAUAUGUUCAAAUCCACCACUCCCUACAGCUAUUGUAUUGAAAAGAUUUUAAUCACAUAUUCUUGAAAAAGUAAAAACAAGAUUUGAAAUUCUUAUUCAUGAGGUAACAAAUAAAAUUAUUCGUUUGAAAUUUUACAAAUUUUUCUGGAAAUGAACCAGAAUGAUAACCACUUACUUUUUAGUUCUUUGGCUCUUUAAAGUUAAGCCUAUAAACACUAAUUUAUAUUUUGGUUCAAGUGUCUGUUUAGUUCAAAUUUCUCAUGUCUUAAAAAGUUUUAAAUCCACUUCCAAUUUAAUAACUUUUAGUUUCUAAUACGUUAUUAACUUUUUAAUUUUCUGUUUUAUAGGUUCCUAUAUUAAUUUUGUUAGUUUUUGACCGAUUUGAUAAUCAUUUGAAUUUUUAGAGUUACUUCUGUAAACACUACUUUUACCGUACCAAAAUAAGUUUAUAUGUUUUAUUAUCUACUUUCUACUGACGUUUUAGAAAACCAAGUCAAGUUUCUUUAGGACGAAAACCAUAUUAAAAAGUUAGGAGGUAACACGUAGAAAUUUCAAAAGUAGAAAACUAAAAAGGAAAUCUUAAUAGUUAUGCCUAAAUAUAGUACAACUUGCUUGGAAUUAGUUGCAAGGGACGAGUGAAAAGGAAUGAACCGUCUUAAGUUAUAAAGUUGUACAAAAGUAAAGAUGUUAAUUUUUUCUCUUUUGAUUUGCUAAUCCAAAUUUCCAAAAUUAAAAGGUUAUAUAUAUGUUUCUAUAAAACUUAGAAGGUAAAAGGUUUUCUAUAGUUAUGUUAUUUUUAAAUGAUUGUGGUCGUGACCGAUGGAAGCAUUAAAGGACAUAAAUAACAACAGAGACCUAUUAAAUAUAUAUAUAUAUAUAAGUUUAUAGACUUAUUAAUAACUUUUAAAAGUACAAGAAUUUAGAAAUACUUUGGAAACUUUUUGAAGUUAACACUAGGAGUAGGGGCCUAUUAGAUGGAUACGUAAUUAAAAGUUGAGAGAUUUAUUUAUUUCUUGUAGUACAGAGUCAGAAAGAUGCAACCUUAAAAAUUGGGCGGAGAUAUUUUACAAACUUAUUAGUACUAGAGAAAUUAAAUAGAUAUUAGAUACAACUUUAGUUUUAAGGAUUAAAUAGAUAUAACUAACGAAUCCCUGACACUGUCGUGGUUUUCCUUUAUGGAUCAGAAAUCUCCCAAAAUUCAAGCAAGCGACAUCCAUUAGUGCCUUCCAAUCUUCCUAACUCAUUGGUGGAUAGGAAUAACAACGUACUAAGUCUUCCCACACCAAAAACAGAAGGUGAAAUACUGUCAUCUUCGAAUUUGAAGCCUUUCUCUUUCAAUGAGCUCAGGAGUGCUACUAGAAAUUUUCGACCUGAUAGCUUGCUAGGUGAAGGGGGAUUUGGUUAUGUUUUCAAAGGAUGGAUUGAUGAAAAUACAUGGGCCGCAGUGAGGCCGGGAAUGGGAAUGGUUGUUGCAGUCAAGAAGCUUAAGCCUGAAGCUUCCCAAGGCCACAAGGAGUGGUUGGUGGGUAUAGCCUAAUUGAUGCUAUUUUCUUUUUCACUUUUCUUGUGUUCCUUCUGUUAUAUUCUUUUGUCUCCAACUAACUGCAAUUAAAAUUCAGACAGAAGUUAAUUAUUUGGGCAAAUUUCAUCAUCCAAAUCUAGUUAAGCUGAUUGGGUAUUGCUUGGAAGGCGAGAAUCGUUUAUUGGUAUACGAGUUUUUGCCAAGAGGGAGCUUGGAGAAUCAUCUCUUCAGAAGUAAGUUCUGUAAACUUUAGUUGUACAUAGUGGAAAAAGGGCCUUUACUAUGGAUGCUCCAUAUAGUUGACUCUGCUGCUUGGAUUCAUACAAUGUCAUUGACUCUGUUUCUUGAAUAUUCUUCUACGAAAUUUGUCUGCCUCUCUCUCAAAUGCUCUAAUUAUCAGUUUUCACAUUGUAAAGAUAGUUAACAGUUCAUUUAUGUACCCUGAUAUGAACUGGAUUAGGAGUACUCAAAGGGGGUGUUUGAGGUAUUGAUGAGUUACGAAGUCUAGAGUUAAUAUGUCAGAAUUAGGAAGAGGGCAGAGUUGUAAAAUGGAGUUUCUCGAUAAAUAUGCAAAAUAAAGAAAGGGGAGAGUAUGAAGUUUCUCGAUAAAUGUGCAAACUUCAAUAAUUUACCAUUGAAGUUGAGUUAACUAACACCAACUAAUGAAGCUGGUGGGCCAAACCCCUCUGAAGUGUUCAUAAUGGUUGCUUUUGCAUCUUGAAAACUGUUUACAUAUGACCCUCUUUAUAAACUUUUCUCUCUUUCGAACAGGUUUAUAGUGAAAAAAUUGCUUUUAUGUGGGUUUGGAUAUUAUAUGAAUAAAAUAUCAUGUGAAACUCACAUUUUAUUUCGACUUAUAAUAUAUGUAAUUCAACAAGCUCACAUGAUAAGUUCUGUUGUGCAGGGGGUUCCCAGCCUCUUUCUUGGGCACUGAGGAUCAAAGUGGCAAUAGCUGCUGCCAGAGGGCUUUCCUUUCUCCAUGAAGCCGAAUCACCUGUUAUAUAUCGCGAUUUUAAGGCAUCCAACAUCCUACUUGAUGCAGUAAGAAAGCGAUUCUUGUAGAGAAAAACACCCACAUCCGUUCUGCACAAAUGCUAUACAAUCUUGUUACAAGAAGUGUUGUUUGUAAUGCAGGAAUUUAAUGCAAAGCUUUCUGAUUUUGGUUUGGUAAAGGCUGGUCCAACUGGAGAUAGAACUCAUGUAACUACUCAAGUUAUCGGGACCCGUGGCUAUGCUGCACCUGAAUAUAUUGCUACAGGUUCGUAACAUAUCCUAUAUUGCACUUUUGCAAAGUGUUGGUGGUUCUCUCUUUUAUUUACAUAAGCUGAAAUACGUGUUAGCUAAAUUUGAAAGGAUAAGGCAUUAUUUGUUAAACCAUUUAGUUUUAGAAUUAUUGAACUUACAAAUACUACUUCAACAGAUGAAUUUGUUAUCUAUAUUUUCAAAAUCUAGGUCAAGCUUUGAAAGCGAAGUAAGUAGACCGGUCUGAUAACAAUUCGGUUUUUGGAAAAUGUACACAGAACAGAAUCCUAGCUUUUACACUACGCACUAUCCAUUAUCCAUGCAAUGUAUUUCAUUGAGGUUUCUGCUUUAUGGUGUAUGUUUAUUUUUCAUGAAAAUAAAAAAAAAAUCAUAGCAAUUAACCCUUUAAUAUCCACUUCUGUCUAGGUCGACUGACAUCCAAAAGUGAUGUUUAUAGCUUUGGAGUUGUGUUGCUCGAAUUGUUGUCAGGUCAACGUGCUGAGGACAAUCUUGUUGAGCGGGCAAGCCCUUAUUUGGGUGAUAAAAGAAAGUUAUUCCGAAUUAUGGACACCAAACUCGAAGGACGAUAUUCUAAAAAGGGAGCUUAUGUAGCUGCAAAUUUAGCUUCACAAUGUCUUACGAGUGAACCGAGGGCCCGACCUCGAAUGGCAGAAAUUUUGGGUGCAUUGGAGGAACUUGAAACCCCCAAAACUCCAGCUAGAAUCUCACAUUCAGUUCAACGUAGUACUCCUACUUUGUCAAACUCGAACCCUGAUGGGUCUCUCUCGAAACCGCAUCAGAAGUCACAACAAUAAUAAUGAAGAUGUAUUGUAUAGAGCUUGCUAAGAUUUGAGCUGGGUAAAAAUCUUUCAUAACGUCCAUGCUACUGCCAGAUAUUGAUCAACUUUUGGUAUACUAUGAUUUUAGUUAACAAAAACAUAGAGGAAAUUGGAUAGUUUCUUAAAGGUCAGAGUAUUAACAUGUAUAACAACAUAGAACAACUUUUUUUAAUUCCAAUAUAGUUCCUCUUGUAAUUCUUUAAAAAUGAUGCAAUAUACACAAUUGUGUAUAAUUUAACUUGAACCUUACUAAUUGUGUGAAAUGUACAUGAAAAUGUCAUUCUUUUUUUAGUACAAUGGUAUGACGAAAAGAAUGGGAAGACUCACGUUAACAAUUUUUUUUUUUUAAAUGAACAAAAAAAUGAUUUACAUACACAUGGGAGAUACUUUUUCAAAGCUGUAAUUUUAAAAAAUAGAUCUUAAUUAUUAUUUCCUUAUAAAUUUUUGGACUAGUCUAGUAGAAGAAGGUUUGCUGAAUGUGACAGAUACACAAAUAAUAUCAUCUUGCAUGCUCUAAAAUUUCACAAGUUUAGAGGGAAAAAGAGUGGUAUGCGGAGGAGUUGAUGAGCCUUCAAGAAGAGAUGUUUAAUAGUUUAGAAUCCCAAUAUUUUUUAAAGUCAAUUUAUAUCUCAUUUAAUAUGGAGAUACAUACAAUUACAAUGAAACAAUGGUGUCUACCAAUAUAUUUAGAUAAUUUUAAGAGAUUAUUUCAAAUAAUAAAUUUAUUUGAGUAGAAAUUGUUAAGAGGGUUGUCAUUAAACAUAAUUAAUUUUUUAAAGUAAAUAAGAGAGGAUUGAGGAAAAUAUCAGCAACAGAUUUCGUAAAGAUUUAGUGAUAUUUUCAAAUUCAAAAGUAACCAAACUUUUGAACUUUCCAUAUUAAGAUUCUGCAUUGAGGUAGGAAUUAAUCUCAUUUCUUAGUUCUAUGUAUAUCCAAACAAUUCAUAUAUAUGUAUAUAUAAAGAACGCUCAUCUAGCCUUAAUUGGCCUCUCUUGAUUUGUAGAUUUUUGGGUUUCAAUGGAGCAUUUAUCUCUACCCGAUAACUCUUACUUUCUCGGAUUCGACAGUUCUACACAGUAUGUUUUUGCCAACAAUUGAGAUUCUUCGUUUCUUCUAUGGAUUCAGUUUUGAUUUCGUUUAGAAUUUUGAAUCAUUAUUGAUGUGUACCCCCCUUUUCUUUUCUUUUUUUAAUCUUUUUCACUGAACUGAUUUUUCUGUUAGGUCUCUGAAAGCAACUGUGUUAGAUUCCAAUCUCAACAUUGUUGCCUCAGAAUUAGUUCAUUUUGAUUCAGAACUGUCCCAUUACAAAACCCAAGAUGGAGUUUACCGUGAUUCUUCUAUCAAUGGCCGAAUCGUUUCCCCCACAUCCAUGUGGGUGGAAGCUUUGGACCUCAUGCUUCAAAAGCUAGUCAAGUCCAAUUUGGAUUUCGCUAAUAUUGCUGCAGUCUCUGGGAGUGGACAACAACAUGGUAGUGUUUAUUGGAAAACUGGAAGUUCUACAAUCUUAUCUUCAUUGGAUCCUCAGAAGCCAUUAGCGGGUCAGCUUGUGAAUGCCUUUUCCAUUAAAGAAUCACCCAUAUGGAUGGAUAGUAGCACUACUGCACAAUGUCGGCAGAUCGAGGAAGCCGUUGGGGGAGCUUUAGAAUUGUCUACACUUACAGGAUCGCGAGCAUAUGAAAGAUAUACUGGACCCCAGAUCAAGAAGAUAUAUGAAACUCAGCCUGAAGUUUAUCAAAAUACUGAAAGGAUUUCCCUUGUCAGUUCUUUUGUGGCGUCUCUUCUUAUUGGAGGAUAUGCCUCCAUUGAUGAAACUGACGGUGCAGGAAUGAAUUUGAUGGAUAUUAAACAAAGAACCUGGUCUAAGAAAGUGUUAGAGGUACAAUGUGCUGAAACUAUGAUUAUGCGAUGAAUAUUAUUUGUUAAAUUCCAAUAAUCCUUUUCACAUUCUUGUUCCUUGAUUUUAUUCUUAAUUCCACCAAUACCAUAGGCCACUGCCCCUGGUCUGGAGGAGAAACUUGGGAAGCUAGCCCCUGCAUAUGGUGUGGCUGGUUACAUUGCUCCAUAUUUUGUCAAGAGGUUAGUCUCCUUCCUCAGACCUGCAUAAAGAAAGUUGAAAACAUUCUUUUUUUAUUAAUCUUGGAUCUAAUGUCUCUUACAUAAGAGCGUAGUACAUAGAAUGUAACCUCGUUGGUAUAUCUUAACAUACAAUGCAGUACAAAAGUUUUCCACAACAUGCUUUUAAGAUUAUGUCAAACAUUAACAUAGGAGAGUUAGUCAUAUGGAUGUUCCUAUCUAGUAAAGGAUUAGCAAAAUGAAACAUUUUGUUCUAUAAUCAUCCAUUUUAUUCAUUUCAUAUGCAUCUGUACUAUCUCAGAUCUUUUAGUGAGUUCUGUGUCUUUAUCUUUUGGGUUCCGUUGUAACUUGACCAAUAGGGAACCAACGGAUGUGGCCUCUCUUCUUUCCUUACUUGAGGGGUUCAUUGAUAGAUAGGGGAGGAGAGAUGCUCGUGUUUGGAUUCCUAAUCCUAGUCAGGGAUUUUCUUAUAAUUCUCUAAUUGGUCUGUUGUUGGAUCCCGCUCCCUCUAAGGAGUUGGGUCUUCGAUGUGGUUUGGAGGAUUAAGGUUCCUAAGAAAGUUAGGUUCUUUACCGUCUUGCUUGGUCGAGUUAAAACUGUUGAUAGGCUUGUCUGGAGGUGGACUUCACCUGUUGGGUCUUUUUGCUGUUUGAUGUGUCAGAUGGUGGAUGAAGGUUUUGAUCACCUAUUUUGGGAUUGUCAAUUUGCGAGGCCUGUUUGGUGCUCUUUCCUUCAGGAGUUUGGUGUCAGCUAUUUGGUGUCAGUUAUGCCGACCGGAGGAGUGUUAGAGCGAUGAUUGAGGAGUUCCUUAUCCAUCUUCCUUUCACUCUCAUAAGGGAGGCUUUUUAUGGCGUGCCGAGGUGUGCGCGUUUAUUUGGGAUAUUUGGGGCGAAUGGAAUGUUAAGAUGUUUAGGGGUAGAGAGAGGGGCAUAGUGGGAUUUAGUUCUUGGUUAGAUAUCAUGCGUCUCUUUGGUCUUCAGUUUCGAAGAACUUUUUUAACUAUUCUACCGGCAACAUUUUACUUCGUUGGUCUCCCUUCCUUUAAUGGGAUGGUUUUUUUUAUGCCCUUGUAUUCUUCAUUCUUUCUCAAUGAAAGUAGUUGUUUUCAUAAAAUAUAUACACACACAUACAUGCAUCAUAUAUACAUAUUAACCCAGCACAACUUUGUCAAUGAUAAUUGAUCAAAUUAGUGGAAACUAGAAUGAAAACUAAUUUUCAUCGCUCUAUAUGCGCUUAAUUUCCCUAUAAAAUUUCAUAAUUUGAAAAUCAAGAAUAUGGCAUGAGUAUGUAAUAGGGAAUCUCUUUCCAUAUGUUUAUGAAGGUUGCAUCUCAUAAUUUCCAUACUACGUGUGCUAUGUGUGGGAGUGCUCUCCUUCAACAUCUUCAUGCUUUGAGUGACAUAAAACGCUUUUACCAUAAUUCAAAUUUUGUGAAUAAUAUGCUUGCGAACUGCAAAGUAAUUUUAUCUCAUGAUCUGGAGGCAUCUCAAAAACACUUUGGAGAAUGUAGAACAAAUAUCAAAGAUUUUUUUCAUACUUUUCACUUAAGUUUUUAUAAUUGAAGUAUUUUGCUAAAAGUACUUAUCCUAGAAACAUUAACAAAACUUGCUGUUUUAUUAAAAGGUACUUGCUAGUAAGUUAAACUGCUGAUGAUUUUACAAAUCUUGGUGUAGAUAUAACUUUAAGGAGAAUUGCAUGGUUGUUCAGUGGUCAGGAGACAAUCCCAACAGCCUUGCAGGUGAUUAAAAUCAUCUUUUCCUUUUGUAACUUCCCUCCCUAUGUGCAUGAUAUUUUCUUUCUCUGCUUAAAUAUAAGAAGAUACGAAUGAUUUCUGUUGAAACAUUUAUGUUCUUGCUUUGUAAUGCCAGUUUGGUCUGGAUAUAUGACAUUAAAUUCAUCUGAUUUUUGUAGUUCUCUAGUUACCCCAAUUCAUGAUUAGUUCAAUUUACUUUCUAGAUUUAAAUGCUAGUAGAUUGGGUUUGGACUAGUAAAUGAAGGUGUUGGAACUUAAGGCUGAUCUGGUGCAAUUUAAACCAUUUCCUCUUUAGCUUGAUUAAGUGAGAAGGAACACAGAGGGAUCUUAUAAUGAUCCUAGGUUAUCAAUAUUUCAAGGUUCUCAACUAUUGGGAUAAAAACAUUAAUGGCUUCCAGUGUAGUCCGAAUUUUGUAUAUUUUUCUUGCAUAUUUUUCUCUUUUAACUAUAUUUUGUUUACCCCUUAUUUUGGGAACACGCAGGUCUAACUCUUAAUACUCCUGGGGAUCUUGCAAUUAGUCUUGGGACAAGUGACACUGUGAGUUCAUCUAUUGUUUUAGUAAAUUCAGAAUGUGAGAUUGUAGUUUGAGUUUAACUGGACUGGGAGCUGGCUGGCAGAGUACCAAUCUAAUAAGUGCUUUACUUUAUUUCAAGCUGGUAAAGUCAAUGGGAGGAUAUCAAAAGAGUGUUUGGAGUUGUUUUUGAAAAACUGCCUUUUAAACCAAAUCAAAUUUUCUAUUGUGCCUUUAGAAAAAUAAUAUUAAUAUAAGGGCAUGUUUGGGAGUGAGCUUAAAAAGAUUAAGUAGUUUUUUUCGUGUUAUCUUGAAACAUCUUUAAUCUUUCAAAAUCAAUUUAGUAUUUGAUUUUAUACAGUCAAACCCAAAUUUUAUAGCAUUAGAACUGAUAUUAGUCAUUAAAAAUAUGUUUUGGAAUGAUUUUGAAUAUGAAAAAUUGAUUCUAACCAUUUCAAAAACACUGGAUACAUGCACUAAGUAUAUUUGGUAUAGCUUAUUGAGUGGUUUAGAGGAUUGUGUUUUUUUUUUAAUUGUAAUAAAUAAAAACCACUUCAGAA
rnacentral:lncRNA from 1 species